GAACAGACACUUCAUCAAGCGUAAUCGAGUGGUCUCUGGCUGAGAUGUUGAAAAACCCGAGCAUCCUCAAGCGUGCUCACGAAGAAAUGGAUCAAGUGAUUGGAAGGAGCCGGCGGCUCGUGGAGUCUGACUUACCAAAACUUCCAUACCUACAAGCCAUAUGCAAGGAAAGCUUCCGGAAGCACCCAUCCACCCCAUUGAACCUUCCUCGUGUCUCAAACGAGGCAUGUGAAGUGAACGGCUACUACAUCCCAAAGAACACUAGACUUAGCGUGAACAUAUGGGCAAUCGGGCGAGACCCUGAUGUCUGGGAAAGCCCGGAAGAAUUCAGUCCAGAAAGGUUUCUAAGUGGAAGAAAUGCAAAAAUUGAUCCUCGUGGAAAUGAUUUUGAGUUGAUCCCGUUUGGGGCUGGACGAAGGAUUUGCGCUGGCACUAGAAUGGGAAUAGUGCUGGUUGAGUACAUUUUAGGGACGUUGGUACAUUCAUUUGACUGGAAAAUGCCGGAUGGAGUUGAGAUCAACAUGGACGAAGCUUUCGGGCUUGCACUGCAGAAGGCAGUUUCUCUUUCGGCUAUGGUGACACCAAGGCUUCACCAGAGUGCGUAUGCAGUCUGAGCUCAAACCGCUCAGACCAAAACCCAGGCCUCGUUGCUAUAUGGCAUGGAUGCAGUUAUGAAGAAAAUAUUUUCGGAUGUUGUUUUAGUUUCCUGUGGCUUAUAAUAAGAUGUAUUAGCUCAAAGAUUGUAGUUUCAUUCUAACACCAAGCCAUAUGCAUCUAUGCAUAAUCUAUUAAUUUAUGCUUGAUUUGGUUAUAGUUUUUGGUUUUUUUGUCUUCCAAAUCAGUAAAUAGUAGUAACCUUUAUAUAAAAUAUAACUCAUACAAAAUUUUGCAUUGAGAAAGUAAUAGUGUAUAACUCAUAUGCAUCUAUGCAUAAUCGCUUGACCCCACCUCUUUUAAUUUCUUUUUAAAAUUUAAUUUUAAAAAAAUGUUUAAUUACAUUAAAAAUAAAUAUAUUUUAUAAAUAAAGAAAAUAAUAGGAAGCCGACAUGCAUGAUUAAAUAGUUGUGUUGGAGUCCAGCAACAAAAGGCAACAAGGUCCUUGAUCAGAGCCAUCAUCUCUUUUCGAUCACUUCUUGUGCAUGAGUUGGCCUGCAGAAUGGGAUUGGCUUAGAUGAUCGUUACUGAUGUUUCCUUUUCAACAUCAUAAUUCAGCGCAAACCAAGUUGAAUAUUCAACAACAAAUAAGUACAGAAAAAUAAAGGAAGAAAAAAAUCCCACUUUAUCUCCGUAAAGUAAUGCCAUAUUUUUCUUCAGACUUAUCUUCUAGCUAGAUUUUUGUUGGAGCUCUGAGCCCGUGAUCCAUUAGAUGACCUUUAAAAAAAUCCCAUCAGCUAUGGAAAAAGUUUUCAUUAAAUCUAAUGAUAAAAAACAAGAAACAAAAGGAGGCACAUCUUCCAGGAACUUUCACCCAGAAAAAAAUAAAAGACAAUGAAUCUUAAUCAGCCAUUAGCCGCUUUCAAUUAUUUAUCAUAAUUAAUGGCGUGCGAUGAAAGCCUAGGAACCAGUCCCAAACAAAAAUUCAUAAAGCAAACCCUCGGUACGAUCGGGGCGGACUGAAGUGAAGGUGGAACUUAGAAGAAGUCGAUAAAUAAAUAGUCGGGUACCAGAUCUGACCGCUACAAUAAAUUGGGGAGUAAGGAUGAAAAUAUCGGUAAUCACGGAUAUAUCGGUACUUCGAAUUUACGGAUAUAUCGGGGAUAUAUCGACGGAUAUUUUGGAAAAAAAAUAUCGAUAGGCUUAAAAUUGUUAAAACUCAUGGAAAUAUAAGAGAAACCUCAUAAUAAUAUAAUUAAAAGCAUAAUAGAUAUUUAAAGUUGUUUUAUUGAAGAAUUUGAUAUACAUAUGAUAUAAUUUGCGAUAUUAGAUGUAAUUAUAUUAUGUAGAACUAUAAGAAAUGUUAAUUUUGUAAUUGUUCUCAUUAUAAAGUCACAUAAAAUACUUCAUUUCAUUUAAUAUCAAUAAUUUGUACACAUUACAUUACAAUGUCCCUUUUGUACCAAAAUGAGGAUCGAUGUGGUUCAAUGGGAUUGAUAGAUGAAGGAACCCCGCCUUGUUGUUGGAGACAAUAUUAGUACUAACUCAAUGAAUCUCGAUAAUAUUGGUUAAAAAUUCUAACAUGCCAUGCAUAUAUCUCUUGAGUCCUGCCCACUACCGCUACAUGGAUAGGGUACUCAAAGUUCACCCAUGUGUUAAUGUCAAAUCCUCCUUCCAUCUGAUAUGGAACUUGGUAUGGCAUUUGUCUGGAAAGGGAACAAUGCGACAUACCAUACUCUUCAUCGGUUGAACUUGAAGGUUGACCAUAACUCAUUACAUGAGGAAGGUAGAUGUUAGCCUCAUUUGAGGAAUCACUAAAUUGAGUCCCUAUACUCAUAGAUUCAAAACUCCCUGAAAGUAACUCUUCGUUAUAUGGUUCCAUCGUUCAUUCUCUUCCUCUAUAGGGCUUCCUAAUAGCUCCUAUGCUUGGACCAGCUCUUCUAGAGCCAUGGUCUUCAUCCUGUGUGUAGUGUGUGAAAUCAUUUUCAUAGGUAAAUUGGCUGAUUAGAUAUUGACUAUGUUGAUGUUCAUAAAUAUCUCCUCCCGUAUUAUCACCUCCAUCAUUAGUUUCACCUCUUGAACCAUAGUAACUAAAAGCAGAAGUACCUGCAGCACUAGGUCUACUGCUAUGGCCAGCACUUGUGGAGUCAAUCUCUUGGUGGGAAUUCAAUGCCGCUUGAACUAAAUCAUUAGUAUCUUUGCUAAAACUUUCAGAGUGAACUUCUUCAGAUAACACACGUUCAACAUUAACUCCAAAUUAUUGAGCAUGAGCGGCAAUUCAUGGAUUAGGAUUUCCAACUUCGUCAUCCAAGUGUAUAGGCCUAACCCAUUGGAACAACUGAUUAUCUUCUUCUUCACCUACCUUAGCUGAAAUGUCAAGAAGAUCAAAGUAAUCUUUUUCAACAACUCGAUCAUUUUCUGCCUCCAUAUCGCGUAACUUUAGCCUCAUAUUAUAGUAACAAAAAACUAAUUGCUCCAAUCUAGGGUAAGCCAAACGAUUUCGUUGCUUUGUGUGGAUGAGAGCAAACGUGCUCCAAUUUCUCUCACGGGCAAAAGAUGACGCAGUUUGUGAGAGAACUUUGAUGGCUAACUUUCUCAAUGUAGGUGUUUGAUUCCCAUACAUAAACCACCAUUCAGUUGCAACCAAUUUGAUAAUCAUAUAAAUACUUAUGUGGUGAAUUUACAAUAAUGAUAAUCAAUUUUUUCUUAUAAAGACUCACCGGGUACCAUGGUUGACCUUGUUGCAAUCGCUGCUCGAUUACUGAAUCAUUUUUUUGCAUCUCGAAAAAGCACAAGCUAUGUAUUCAACAUUUAAUUUGUUAAUAUCAUAUUUGUUAGUAAACGUUCAAAUAAAUUGAUAAUUGAAAUAAUUGUUUUAUCAACAAAAAUAACAAUUUUCUAUUUACCUCAUUUCCAAAUUGACCAAGCGACUUAGUAGUUGGAUCAAAUUUUGCAAAAACAUCAUGGACCGCUUGAAGUAGUUCCGGAUCACUACCAACUCCAUGCCUAUAUUGAAAUCUUGGAUUUAAGAAGUAUGUUACAAUAAAAUUAAGUAGAGCUAGUAUAUUUUUAAAGAAAAUUAAAUACAAAGUAAAAACUUAUAAAGAUAGAUAGUACUUAAGUACCUGUUGCAUGAAGUGGAUGUUUUAGUGUUUUCUCCCAAUGAUCUUUUAUUAUUUUGAAGAUCUAAUCUCCAGCUCCUUGAUGAAUAAGGUUUCCUUUCAUCACUUGCAUAAACUCGUACACAAAUGGCAUUGUGGGAACAACUUUAGAAUCCACAAGUUGAAGCACCACGUAUAAUGGCUCAUAUAAUGAAACUAUAUUUGUCAAUCUGUCCCAAUACGUAUGGUCAAACAAUAAUUGCUCCAAUUCUCAGCUAAGUUUUGUUCGACUGAGUUUGUGGUGUGCCCAUUCAUCACUCAUAAACAUUUUUUUCAAAUCAACCCUUUUUUUAAGAAGACUGUUAAGAACAAUAUAAUUGGUAAAAAACCUUAUAGCUCCUGGUCGAACAAUGUCUCCACCACAAUACUUUCUCAUUUGUGCAAGUAACCAAUCAUGAUUGUAAAUGAAGUUAGUUAUCUUGCGAGCAUUGUUUAUCACAUCGAUAACAUUAGGUCUUUUACCAAUGUCUUCAAAGAUUAAGUCGAUACAGUGCGCCGCACACGGAGUUCAAUAUAAGUUAUACUUCUUCAUCAAUUGUUUCCCUGCUUUCAUGAACGCCGACCCAUUAUCUGUGACAAUUUGGACCACAUUUUCUUUACUGACUUCUUUGAUAAUAGUCUUCAAUAGCUCGUAAAUAUACUUGUGGUCUUUGAUAUAGUUUGAUGCAUCGAUUGACUUAAGGAACACCGUGGUCCCUUUAAAAUAAACCAUGAAAUUAAUAAUACUUAAUUUCGUGGGCCUUGUCCAUCAAUCUGACAUUAUUGUGCACUCAUAUGUCUUCCAUUUUUCUCUUUGCUGGUUCACAUAAGCUUCCAUUUCUUUGUACUCCAUUUCCAAGUACUUGUUCUUUAUUUCAUAUGGAGAUGGAGGUUCGAUUCCCAUUCCUACACUUCAUAUAUAAAAAAUAUGUAAAACAUGUCACAAAAGACCAUGCUUACUAAAAAUGUGACACAAUAUAACAUUUCAAAAAUUAGUAAUUAGUUGCUUGUUGUGCACCAAUAAUCAUAUUCUUGAAGUGAUGAGACUUUGCUUUUGCGGGUGCGACGCUCUCAUAAAUGAAGAAUUAGCUAAUUAAGCGUCCCAUCGUUUCUUUAAUUGCACCACGCUUGAAUAUUUCUUUAAUAUUUUUUUGUCUUGCUGCAAAAGACUUAUAAAGCGAAGGGGCAACAAGGGGUGAUUGGUGCGAAUGUCGCAUACUUUGUGAUUUUCACAUCGUCGUCGGUAUACCAGCAGACCGUGAAGACUUCCCCGUUUUGUGUUUGCUUCCUACAAUAUUCUCAUGUUGUUCAUGUUCCCAUUCUGAUGAUUUUGAGGCACGAACUGCAGAUCGAUAUGCAUCCCGCUCAUCUGGGUACAUAUCUGUUAGAUACAUAUACACAUCUUCAUCCUCAACAUCUUCAUCAUCAUCAUUUUCGUCUACCAAAUGUGUAUCAUGAGUCCCCAUUGUGCCACGUAAUUGAGCACAGAUGUCUUGAAUAUCAGCAACUUUCUUUGCUUUUGCUUUUUUUUUUUUUUUUUUGUCAUACACCAACAAACAUAUCUUUUCUUUCACUUCGGGAGGCACUCUCGGACACUUUUUGGUGUUGUUAUGCGAGUCGUUAUGCGUUAAAUGGAACUUGAAUCGUGUGAUGCCUCCACUUUUCAUCAAUAACCUACAGAAAUUACAAAUUGUUCCAUUUAUGUUCCCCCUCAAUUGGUGAACAAUACUUCCAAGCCGGAUCUCGCCCUGGCAUGACAGAACCACCUUCACUAGCCAUGCUAAAUCUAUUGCAAAAGAAAUACACUUGAAUGUAAUUUCAAUGUAAACAAAAAUUAAGUCAACAUUUAAAUUUAAAUCUAUGAGAAAUCUACAAAAUAAUCAUAAAAAAUGAACAUAUUUGAUAUUCCAAAUAUCUAGUUCAUGUUAAUUAAACUAAUUAAAUAAUUUAGCUAAGUUAAUUUUUUGAAUCUAAAUGUAAUUCUAUGAAAAAUUUAGUAAAUAUAAAAAUUAAUCAUAAUUGAAUAUGAAAAUAAAUCCCAAUAAUCAUAAAAAUGAACAUAUUUGAUAUUCCAAAUAUACUAGUUCAUGUUCAUUAAAUUAAUUAAAUAAUUUAGUUAAGUUAAUUUUUUGAAUCUAAAUGUAAUUCUAUGAAAAAUUUAGUAAAUAUAAAAAUUAAUCAUAAUUGAAUAUGAAAAUAUAUAGCAAUAAUCAUAAAAAAAAGUUCAUAUUUGAUAUUCCAAAUAUACUAGUUCAUGUUAAUUAAACUAAUUAAAUAAUUUAGCUAAGUUAAUUUUUUGAAUCUAAAUGUAAUUCUAUGAAAAACUUAGUAAAUAUAAAAAUUAAUCAUAAUUGAAUAUGAAAAUAAAUCACAAUAAUCAUAAAAAUUAACAUAUUUGAUAUUCCAAAUAUACUAGUUCAUGUUAAUUAAAUUAAUUAAAUAAUUUGUCUAAGUUAACUAGUUGAAUCUAAUUCUAACUAGAAUGAAUGUGAAAAAAAAAAUCACAAAAAAUCAUCUAAAAUAAACAUAUCAAUUUAUAAUUAAAUAAUCAAAUUAACCUAAGUUAAUUCAAUAAAAAUAUACAAAUUAGUUACAAUUGAAUGUAAAAAUAAAAUUAAAUCAUCCAUAUUGCAAAUAUACUAAUUAAUUGAACAUACAUGAAUUAAUUACAAUUGAAAACAAAAUUAAUUACAAGUUAAAACAAACAUACCUUAAAAUGAUUGAAUAAUUGAGCAACCUUCGAAAAAAUUGGAAUAAUGAGAGAGCAAAUCAAUAAUGAAAUCAAAUAUGAAUGAAAUGGAUGCAAAAUGGGCUAUUUAUAGGAGAAAUUUGGGCCACAAUAGCCGUUGGAAGAUUAUUUUACCAUUGAAAAACAAUUUUGGCUGUUGGAUCAAAAUCUGGGCAAAAUCUGACCGUUGGAUCAUGAUAUUACUGUUGGAAUCUCAUCCUAACCGUUGGAUCAAACCUAGAUUCAAUUUGGAGCAUUGGAUAUAUGACUGUUGCAAGCAGACGUGGCGGGCAACAUUUGGACCAUCGGAUCAACAUGGGUGUGAUUUGGGCUGUUAGAUCAUGUUGGAGAUAUGAGUAGACAUGUCACCAAAAAAUCGGCGAUUUAUUGCCGAAAUAUCGACGAUUUUCCUCCGUCUGGGCUGACUUUUCGCCGAUAUAUCGCCGACAAAUUGGCGAUAUUUUGACAAUUUUUUAGUGAAAUUUCUCAUUCUUGAUUUUUCUCCACAUAAUAUCGUGUCGACACCUCCUGAUACAUGAUAUAUCACUGAUAUAUCCCGACAUUUUCCUCUUUGUUGGGGAGUAGGUGAUCUCGAUAUUAAUUCAAUAAAUAAAUAAAUAAAUAAAAUCAGAGUGGUGUGUGAUUGAGAUUAAUUGUAUGAUCACCGAAUUAUGAUGGAUCGGACGUACAAUAUCAAAAAGUUUUGAUAUCGUUUUGAUAUUAUUUUUUUAAUAAAAAUAAUUAUUUUUAAAAAAAUAUGUUAUAAAUAUUUAAAAUAAUUAAAAAUAUUUAGAUCAAAAAUCGACUAUUUUUCAAACAAAAAUAUGGAAGUGAUAAAUGUGCAAAUAUGGGGAAUAUUUAAUCCUUUUAAUCCAUUAUUUCAUUAAUAAAGUGGGUAUAAUUAAUGAUGAACGCAAACUUGGUUUUGCUAGGGCAUGCAAAGGUUUUGCAAGAGAGAGAGAUCAUUUCUCGACUUUAAGAAAUCAAUCUCCUUUUGGCCUGGAGGCAGACUCCAAGUUAAGCCUUGAAAGAGCAUUGCUAAUAGCAUCACUGCUAUUGCAGACCCGAAUGCGAUCCCUGUGCACCCACACCUUCCAGCACUGAAGGAAAUGAAACGAAGGUUUGGCUCGUUCAACUCCACUGCUUGACUGUACUAGCAUUCAGAUGCUACCCUGGAUUGAAAUUUAAUGGUUCUUCCCAUAUUCUAAGGUUCCGGCCAAGCCCCAAACGGCUCAGAAGGACAUGACUGCCUUUGGGGAUAAAGUAGCCAGCAACACUAGUCAGAUUCUUGAGCUAGUCUAUCCUUUCCAACCACUCCAUCAAUUUCUUCACUGCUUUGCUCAAAACCCCUAGUUGAUUGACCAUUGCCUACUCAAUUGCAUUUGAUGGACUAUCCACGCCUGCAAGCAUCAACUCCUGUAAAUUAUGGAAGGAUCAUAAUCUGAUGAUUGAUCAAGUUAUUUGCUGGCUAGGAAAUGAUCAACACAUAAUAUAGAUCAAAAUGUAAACACAACACUACUAAAAAAUAAUUUAUGGUGUUACUAUUUAUGGUGUCACUUUUAAAAUAAUGACACCAUAGGGUUUAUAAUUAAUAAAGGUGAUACAUCAUAUAAAAAUUCUUCAAUUGAGAUAGUUAGAUGAUGUUAGUUUUAUUUUUAUAAUGUCAUUUUUUGGUAAGUUACAUCAUAUAAAAUAAAAAAAUUUAAGUAUUAUAACUCAAUGAGCCUAUUUGAGCCCACUUUUAAAAUUAAUAAUGAGGGACAAUGUAUAAAAAGCCAAUUGUUUCCACAUGCCACCCACAAUCCAAAAAAUCUCAGUAUACAAACCUUAUAUAUCAAACCAUAAUCUUUUUCUACCUUUUCUCUCACCCAUUGUCAACACACUCACAACUGACAUUCUCCACUUUGUGAACUCCCAGGUAACCCAAAUUCUCUUAGAUCUAUCAUAUUUUUUCCUUUAUUAAUAUCAUUAUAUCGAUUGUUUCAGCAUCUUUGCAUUAUGAUUUUUGUGAAAUGCAUUUUCUUGAGUUGUAGGGAAGAAAAACUUAAGUUUAAACUUCUAGCAUAGAAGAAGAAACCUAUAGAUUAAUUGAUUUUUUAAUCUGAACCAAACACAUGGUCGAAUCCUUAGAAACAAGUGAAAAAUAAGAAAAAAUGAAUGAUUUUUAAUAUAUAUUUGUGUGAGAAUGACAUGUACAUAAUUUUGUUGAGAUAUACUGUCACAUAAUCUUCAUCCCUUCCCAAAAAUGAGAGAGAGAGAAAAAAAAAAAGGAAUAAUUUUUUUGUGUGUAUCUAAGUGGGAAUGAGAGAUAUAGAAUUUCGUUGAGAUGCAAUGCUAUCACAUGAUCUUUAUCCUCCAUUAAACCCAACACAUUAAAUCCACUAACUCUCUCCUCAAAAACGAGUAAAAAAAAAAAAAAAAGAAUGAGUUAAAAAAGAGGAAAAAAAUGAUUUUUUUAAUGUGUUUCUAAGGAGAAUGAGAGAUACAGAUUUUUGUUAAGAUGCACUGCCACAUGUUCUUCAUCCUCUCCAUUAAGCCUAACAUAUUAAACCUAAUAGCUCACUCUUUUAAGCAUUCCAAUGAAGUGCCUACAGUAUCCAACUCAAAAUAAGACAGACAACUUAAGCCCCAUUAGCCAACAACCCAUAUUUUGUGCACAUCUUCAUGAGAUUAUUUUGUGAGAAAAUGUCAUGAAACAAUCCCAAUUUGAUAAUCUAGGCAUGUAUUUGACUUAAAAAUAAAUUUCUAUUCUAUAUAUUAAAGAAUAAAAUCAUGAUUGAAAAUUAUUCUUAAAAACUUAUUUAGAGCAAAAAUUGUUUUCUAACAUAAAAAUAUUUUUUUAACUUAGAAAAUAUAUUUGAAAUUAUUUGAUAGAAAACUGGGCAUGUAUUUGACUUAAAAAUAAAUUUCUAUUCUAUAGCUCAAAUAAUAAAAUCAUGUUUGAAAAUUAUUCUUAAAAACUUAUUUAGAGCAAAAAUGGUUUUCUAACAUAAAAAUAUAUUUUUUAAUUUAGAAAAUAUAUUUGGAAACAUUUGAUAGAAAACUGGGCAUGUAUUAAACUUAAAAAUAAAUUUCUAUUCUAUAGAUCAAAGGAUAAAAUCAUGUUUGAAAAUUACUCUUAAAAACUUAUUUAGAGUAAAAACGGUUUUCUAACAUAAAAAUAAAUUUUUAACUUAGAAAAUAUAUUUGAAAACAUUUGAUAGAAACCUUUUUUUUUCUAAUGUCAAUAAGUUGUCUUUUUCUUAAUUUAAUUGCAAUCAAUUUGCCUAUAUGCAUUUAAAAAUAUAUAUUAUCAUAUUUAGCAAUAUUUUGAUUGUUAGGCAAAUUAUCAUUUUUGAGAGGAAUUUUUGUAGCUCUCAUAAUUAUAAUUGUAUUUUAAUAACCAUUUCCAAUAUAAAAAAAAAAGAAAAAGAAAAUAAAGUUAGACAAUUAUCAAAAUCUGAUUUUUAGGAUUUUUAAAAAAUCUACAAGCCAAAACUAUUUAUAAUUUUGACCAUGUGAGAACAAUUCUUUUUCUAUACUUUGAGUUAUUUUGUUUUUUUUUUCUUAGCAUUUGAAAGUAUAAAAGAAUUUCUUUUAUCAUAUUAUAUAUGUGCAUAUGUGUUCUUAUGGUUGUUUAUGUCAUGUUUUAUCAAAGAAUAUAGUGAAAUUUCCUUUGAGUGGAAGGUUUUAGUCCACGCUAGUGAGUGGACAUGGUAUGAAUAGUUUGGGUGGGUUGUAUCUAUGGUAAAAAAUAAUAAGACACACCUUUUGCAAGUCUCCAAGUUGGUUGAGACCUACAGACAUGGCAUCAUGUUGACUAGACCUUGACUUUUGCAAGUCUCCAAGUUUCCAACUUUUUUUUUUUUAAUAUUAAGGUGUGGGGUCAUGAACACCUUUAUUUCCUUUUUAAAUAACAAAAAGGAAGAGAAUUUGAUCGUGAGAAGGCUAUUGCUAUCAAUUGUGUUCACCUGGAGAAUUUUUUAAUGUAUAGAGGCCAUAUAUAUAUAUAUAUAUAUUUAUGUCUAAUUUAGGAGGGUAAUUUGGGUUUGUCUAAUCUAUUCCAUUUAAUCUUACUAUACAAUCAUUUUUAUUAUUUGAAUUAUUCUUGUAUUAAAUUUCUUCAACCCAAAUUUAAUUAAUUGAUAGGAUGAAAGAAAAUGUGAGAAUGUGAGACUAGAGGUGGCCUUUGUUUGAUUGAUAAUUAAUCAUUUUUUUAUUUUACAUAUAUCUAUCGACAUAUAAAGAGCCAUAAAGUUAAUAUCAUAAUGGAAUUUCAUAAAACCCAUUAUAGAAUUUCAUGCUUGAAGUCAUUACUUUUGAAAGUAUUUAUUAUAAUGAAAGCUACUUUUUGUAAAAAUUAUUAUUUUAUGGUUGAUAAUUCAUUAAGUGUCUUCUUAUUCAACUAGUUGACUUCUUGCCAUGGAAAAGUAUACCCAAAAAAAGGUGACUUCUUGUAGUAGAAAAGUAUACCCAAAAAAUGACUUGUUGGAGUGCACCCAAUGUGUAUGUAAAUUUUGUGGGUGAAAAAUUUAGAGGUAAAUUAUUGGGUACUUGUAUACAUAGAUAACUAUGAAAACAUAAUUUUUGUUAAGUGAAAUAAAUUAAUUUUAAAAUAACAAACAAACUGCCAAUAAAUUAAGUUAAACAUGUUGAUUAAAGUUAAGAGAAAAAUAUUAAAACAUAAAAUGAUGAAAAUGAUAAUAAUUAUGAUAAUGGUGAACAUAGUAAAUGAUAACAAUAAUUGUGGUUGGUAAAUGAUAAAAAUAGUUGCCGGAAAAUUUGUUUAGAUAAUAGGUUAAUUUUAUAAUAAAUUUAUGGCAUUUUAAGGUUUUUUUUUAUAACAUAUUCUUUUAGAUUUUAAAAUUUCAAAGGAUACUAUUUGUUUUUAUUACUUAUAACUUUUAGUAUUUAUAAAUUAAAAUUUUAGUACUUAAAUUUAAUAUUUGUAAGUUAUAUGAAUGACUUGAAGCAUGUAAUAUAUAUAAAUACACAUAUUCAUACUUGAAAUAUUGCAUUUUUUUGGAUUAUUAGUUUAAUUUAAUGGAGAUGAGUAUUUUGUUGAAAAGUUACAAUGUAUUAUUGAAAAUAUGACUUGAUAGUUGAUUAUGAAUAUGUGUCAUUUUUAGUAAAAAUAAAUAAAAUUAAAUCUAUAACAUUUUAUAUUGAUAGUAUAUUAUUCUUGUAAUAGGUUCAAAUAAUAAGCAAGUCAUUAUCAAAGAAGUUAUUGGAAGUGUAAGGGUACGUUUAUUUAUUGCAUGCUCUUAUAUAGUAUCAAUUGUAAGGAAGAUAAAAUUACUGAUUACUACUCAAAAAGUGCUAUUUGAUAGCCUAUAAUUAAUCCUUUUAAACACUUUUGAGUAGUAGUUUAGGCCUUUUAACUCAAUUGGCAUGUUAAGGACCCUUGAAAGCAAUUUUAAUUACUUUGUGUAAGUUUUGGUGUUUUUGUUAGUAUUUUGAUCACCAAAGCAAGUCAAGACUGAGGAGAGUUAUGAGGAAUCUUGGGCAAAGCUUAGAAGUCAUUUGCCAAGAGUGAAUCCAGAAUGCAAGGAGAAAAAGUAAAGAGAAUCUGCCAUGAAGCAUAUUCUUGAUGACAGUCAUAGCAGCCACUUUAGGAGCACUUUCUGAAGUCCAAUUGAUACAUGCUAUAUACCAUUUCAAAGCUCAGGAAGUCAACAAUCCACUGCUUCAAACGGUGUGCAAUUCGGAGUUGAAACGAAGAAGUUGCAGCCAUUGCAAGCCAAUCACUCCAAGCUGAAGGAAGCAUUUUUGCAAAGUGUUGCGAAAUCACCCUUUUGUUGCGAAGUGAUUCCACAGCCUUUUUGUACAGUAGGGUGUAUUUCCUCCUGAAGAUGCCCGACAUAUACCGCGAGAGGGAAGCUGGGAACCUCAAGGUGGAAGCCAACUUCGCAGCCCUGCGAAGAUAGCAUGUUGUUGCGAAAUGAUUUCGCAGCCCUCUUGAGUGUCUGCGAAAUCUCGCAGACACCAUUUUCUCUUGCGAAAUGGUUCCUGGAGCAUCCCGAUAUCUGCUACCGAUAUUGGGAGAUAUUUUACAUUAGAUUUUUGUUGUCUAAAUACCAAAAUACUCCUUGUAAGCCACCAAUUACAAGAUUCCUUAGCUUUUAAGUUAGUAAAAAAGAGAAAAAUAUCUAUGUAAUAAUUAGUUUUAUAUUAUGUUCAUAUAUACCUCUCGGGAGCCUGUUCUCAGAAGGAUCCUUUUGUAAAGUUUUGGGUAAGCAAGUAAAGUUCAGUUCUUUGUUUUGCCUUACCUUCUCACUUUGUAUUUUUCUAUUUAUUACUAAGUUAUGAACUCUCUGAGGAGUUUUCCCCAGAGAAUGAGUAACUAAACCUCUAGUUCCUUGGAGCUAAGGUUGCCGGGGAAGGUUCCAAGUGCAAGAAUGCAAAGCUUUGUGGUUUUAGCUAAUAAUGAAAAGGAAGUGAAAUCCUUUAGUGAUUUCUAUGUUUUUAGUUAACUUAAAACACCUUAGAGUCACCUGGGCCAACACUUGGUAAGGCAAGUGAUUUCCAACCAUGGAAAUGCACUAGUUUACCCCUUGCGAGCCUCUGGGAGGUGACUUUAGGGUAGGAUUUUCUAGAAUAGCCAACACUUGGUAAGCUUUUGGACUCCAAGGAGACAUCCAUUAGUUAUCUCUUGCGAGCUUUUGACGGGUAAUCCAAGGUUAAAGAUCACCUUGAAUGGUUACGGCUUAGUGAGAAGCUUAAAUCAUUGCAAGUUGCAUCAGUGAGAGAAUUAAAGUGAAAUCUAAUUGAAGGAUGUAUCUAUACAACACCGGUUAGAGAAUUGACUAUAGGUUGAAUCUCUAACGCGAAGAAAUGAACCAUCUGACCGGAGCUAUGUCUUUUGCAUGAGGAACCACCCCAGUGAACCUAACUCUCCAAGGAAUGUUUUUCUUCCUAAGUUAUUCCCAUUACCUGUUGUGUUAGUUAGUUUAAGUCUAAAUCUUUACAAAUCAAAGUUUGGGUUUUAUUUCUUAAGCUAACCUUGAAAUGAAACAAGACCAAUUCACUUUGAAUUGGUAUCAUUGAUAGCUUGUUAAUCCUUCCCAGUGAACGAUCCUAGAGCCACUAUACUAUAGUAGUUUUUUCUUUGCUACCCUAGUAUAUGGUGUUAUAGGUUAUAAAUUUUGUUGAUUACUCCCUCAAUCAAGGAGCACCAGCUGGACACGAAUCAACUGAGACACCAACUGGGCAUGAAUCAAAUUACCUUGUAAAGGUAAUUAAAUAUUUAUAUAUUUUAAAAACUUUUUUCCUAUAUACUAUGCUUUUGAAACUUGUUUAAUUAAACAUAUUAGUUAUUUGACAAACUUUUCACAAAUGUUUUGUAUACUUAUGUGUUCUAUUUCGUUCCAUAGUUUUAUUGCAUAAUACUUAUGUAUAUUUUUUCACAAACUUUUUACAACUAUUUUGUGUACUAAUGCAUAUUAAGUUUUGUUCUUGCCUAUAUAAGCUACAUUUAGUUAUUUAAAUAUAUCCAAUAUUAUGUUGAAGAAAGAUGUAUUUACUUAACUUUUUUUAUUCUUCAUAUUAACAAGUUUUUUAGUUCUCUUGUCUCGAGAUUGGAUGUCAAAAGAUAGAAGGUCAGUUGAGUAUGAUGAAAGAGUUGAAAACUUUAUCAAUUUUGCAUUAGCACAUUCAAUCAACCAUACCUCUAUAAAAUGUCCAUGCUUAUGUUGUGCAAAUCUGUUAUGUCAAACUCUUCAAGUCAUUAGAGAGCAUUUGUUCUUUAAUGGAAUAGAUCUCAGUUAUUGAGUAUGGUAUUGGCAUGGAGAAAAGGGACCCAAUGGAGGAUUUUCAAAUGUCUCACCACAACAUUAUGACAAAUGCAACUAUAAUGAUGUUGUUGACACAAUAGAUAUGGUUAAUGCUGCACAAGUUAAUUAUAUGAAUAAUCCCCAAGUGUUUGGAAGGUUACUUGAAGAUGCAGAAAAACCUUUAUAUCUCGGAUACAUGAAAUACACAAAGUUGCCAGCAUUGGUAAAACUUUACGACUUAAAAGCACGUUAUGGUUAGUCUGACAAAGGAUUCUCAUAAUUGCUUCAGUUGCUUGGAGAUAUGUUGCCAUUGAAUAAUGAGAUGUUGUUGUCCAUGUAUGAAGCUAAAAAGGCUUUCAGUGCACUUGGGAUGGAAUAUAAAAAAAUUCAUGCAUGUUCUAAUGAUUGUAUUUUGUAUAGAAACCAGUAUAAGGAUGGUAUUACAUGCCUAACUUGUGGAAAGUCAAGGUGGAAGAUAAACGAUGAGGGGAAAAAGAUUAAGAAGGGGGGUUCCUUCAAAGGUUUUUUGGUAUUUCCCACCAAUCCCUAGAUUCAAAAGGAUGUUCCAAUCCUCAAAAACCACUAAACAUCUUAUAUGGCAUGCCAAGGAUAAAGAAUAUGAUGGUAAACUACGCCACCCAUCAGACUCCUCAGCAUGGAAACUAGUUGACCAUAUGUGGCUUGAUUUUGCUUCUAAACCGAGGAACCUUAGACUAGUACUCUCAAUAGAUGGUAUAAAUCUUCAUAAGUCUAUGAGCAGUAGACAUAGUUGUUGGUCUGUUAUACUGAUCAUAUACAACCUUCCUCCUUGGUUGUGCAUAAAAAAGAAGUUUAUGAUGCUAUCAUUAUUGAUCUCAGGACCACGACAACCUAGUAAAAAUAUAGAUGUUUACUUGAGUCCAUUGGUGGAUGACCUUAAAACUUUGUGGUAAAAAAAAGUUGAGACUUAUGAUGCACACUUGCGUGAGGUUUUUUACUUUAAAGGCCAUCCUUUUAUGGACAAUCAAUGAUUUCCCUGAAUAUGGAAGCUUGGCCAAUUGCAUUGUGAAAGGAUAUUAUGCAUGUCCAAUAUGUGGAGGAGGAACAUAUUCCGAAAGAUUAAAGCAUGGUAGGAAGAACUCGUAUAUGGGUCACCAACGAUUUCUUCCACAUAACCAUCCCUAUUGGAGACAAAAGAAGGCAUUCAAUGGUGAAGAAGAUUUUAGAAUUCCUCCUAAAAUUUUGAGUGGGGAAGAAAUACUUGAAAAAGUUGAUCUCAUUCCUAUUUCUUGGGAAAAAAUGAAGAUAAAAUCUCUUGAAUCUAAUGUGAACACAAAUUGUUGGAAAAAAAAAAGUCCAUAUUUUUUGAGUUAGAAUAUUGGAAAUAUCUUCAUGUCCUUCACAACCUGGAUGUUAUGCACAUCGAAAAGAAUGUCUGUGAGAGUAUUAUUGGUACUUUGUUUAACAUCCCAGGAAAAAAAAAGAUGGACUUAAUGCUCAACUUGACCUAGUUGAAAUGGGUUUAAGGUCUGAACUUUUCCCAAGAGUUGACUUAAAGCAGACCUAUCUUCCCCCUGCAUGUUAUUCACUAUCCAAACAUGAGAAAAAAAUUAGUUUGUCAAACAUUGUCUAAUUUGAAGGUCCCGGAGGGGUAUUGCUCAAAUUUUAGAAAUCUUGUCUCCUUAGAGGAAUUGAAGUUAUUUGGUUUAAGAUCCCAUGACUAUCAUGCACUUAUGCAACAACUGUUGCUAGUGGCAUUACGUUUUGUUUUGCCAAAGCAUGUGAGAUAUACUAUAUCAAGAUUGUGUAUCUUCUUCAAUCAAUUACAUACAAAAGUGGUUGAAGUGUCAAAAUUGGAUGAAGUACACAAUGAGUUAGUGGUCAUGUUGUGCUUACUUGAAAAAUAUUUUUCACCUUUAUUUUUUUGAUAUUAUGCUUCAUCUAGCAGUGCAUUUGAUAAAGGAGGUGUGACUAUGUGGUCUAGUUUACUUUAGUGGAUCUACCCAUUUGAGAGGUAUAUGAAAGUUCUUAAAGGAUAUGUUCACAAUCAUAAUCAGCCUGAAUGAUGCAUUACUAAGUGCUAUUUAGCAGAGAAAGCUGUCGAAUUUUGUACUAAAUAUUUAUUAAGGAUUCAUGCAAUUGGAAUUCCAAAAAGUAACAAUUAUGACAACAAAUUUGGUAGACCUAUAAUUGGUGGUCAUUCUACCAACAUUGAUCAUAAAUCGUGGUUACAAACACAUCAUUAUGUGUUAGAGAAUACAACUAUUGUCCAACCAUACACUGAGUAAAAAAAAACAUACCUUUAUCUUUUUAUAAUUUUAUAACAUAAUGAUGAAAUCCUAAGUUUGCAUUCCUUGUCUAUAAUGUCAUAGGGAACACAUGAAUUGGUUGAAGUCUCAAUACCCUUGACAAUCUAAUAGACAAAUUUGGUUGCAAGAAGAACAUAUGUGUUGUUUUACAUAUUGACUGAAAGAAAAGGUAAUCUCUUAGUUUUUAGAAAAAUUUUCAAUAUGUUGAAAACAUCACAAGUUUCCAAUAUGUUUUGAUUAUACACAGGUUGAAGAGGCUAUCCAUAAUGGGCAAGAUAUUACCGACACGCUUAGGUGGUUAGCACAUGGCCCUACUCUCCAGGUAGUCAAAUAUCCUGGAUAUAUCGUUAAUGGGUGUCGUUAACAUAUUAAUGAACACGAUAUGACAUGCAUCACCCAAAAUAGUGGUGUUAGCAUUUUAGUAAGGACUAUGCAAAUUCCCAGUUCUAAGGAUAAGAACCCAGUUUUUGGUGAACUUUGCUUUUAUGGGGUCAUUAUUGAGAUAUGGGAUCUUGAUUACAACAUGUUCACAAUUCCAAUUUUCAAGUGUGAUUGGGUUGACAACAAGAAUGGUAUAAAAGUUGAUGAACUCGGGUUCACAUUAGUUGACUUCUCCUAAAUAUGUCACAAAUCGGAUCCAUUUAUUUUAGCAUCACAAGCCAAGCAAGUCUUCUAUGUUGAAGACCAACUUGAUCCUAAAUGGUCAAUAGUUCUCUCAAUUCCUCCAAAAUAUUUCAAGAACAUAGAAGGACUAGAUGACUUCACCGAUAAUUGCAUGGAACAUCACCCCUUUAUAAGUUCAAUGCCAAAAGUUGAAUCAUUUGAUGCUAUGGAUGAAUCAGAGGCAAUAUACAUGAGGGAAGACUAUGAGGGCAUAUGGAUUGAAAAUAAUUAAAUAAUAUAUUGUACCCUUGACAUGAGAUAUAAUAAGGCAUUUCACUUAUUAGUUUUCAUGAGUUGCAUAUUACCUUAGCUUCUAUAUAUUGCUCAUGAUAUAUAUAUAUAUAUUGAUCAUCCUAAAUUUCUUUCAUGCAUCAUAAACAUAUGUUAUUCAAAGGUACCACUUCAAUCUUCAUUCAACUAUCUUUUUGUUGUCCAUGGAACUAGAUUUAUAUUAUUUUUUAUUAUCAUGUUUUGAUUUUAUGCUCACAUAACUUGAAACUCUCAUUCCUAAAUUUCUUUUUCAUUAAAACUAUAAAUCAUAAUUGAAACUAUGCACUAAUUUAUUUUAUUAUUAUCCUCACAAAUAAAUUCUUCAUUAUUGAUAAGAAAUCAAAAAACAAGACAAACUUUGAAAGAAAAUUUCAAAAAAUGUAUUUGUGAAUGACCAAUUUAAUUAUAGAAAAUAUAUGCAAGGCUAUACUAAUCUUGCUUUUAAGUCAUUUUACAGGUUUGUUGGUGAAGUACUAGUUUGCACAUUUACUUGAUAUCUUCCACACAAAUAUGGAUCUGAAAGAAGAAUAAAUGCCAAAAAUAAAGCAUAGAGGUAGUACAUUGAAACCAAAGAUUGCAAAAAAUCAAAGUAAAGGGAUAAAGCUCAAGAUUGAAUACAAUAGCCUUGGUAGUCACAUUGAGGAAAAUUCAGUUGAACUAAGUAGUUAUCUUAGUACAAUAACUAGAACCCAUGUGCCAAUAAUUAUUGAGAGUUGGAGGAAAGUCCCUAAAGAGACUAAGGAGAAGUUAUGUGAUUUGAUCACGGUAAGUCUAUCUAUAGCUUUAAUAUAUAAUUAUUGUAUACAUUCAUUAACAUGAGUUAACAUGGGUUACUAUUUUGUAGACAAGCUUUAAUGUGAAUAAAAAAUCCAAGAGGAAUUGUUUCAUACUAAUGGACAUAAGGUUUUGAACCUUUAAGACAAAGAAAUAUAUAUUGUCUUUCAAGAAUGACCAGAAAAGCUGAAAAAGUCACCUCCUAUCUACCCAUUCAUACAAGAGGAUCAUUGGAGACAGUUUGUUAAAGAUAGACUUUCUGAACAUUUUAAUGUUAAGCAUUAUUCUUAUUACAUCUUCAAUUUUCACAUUUACGUAGUUUCACCAUGUACUAAUUUUGUGUCUAUAUUUUGUAGGAAUAUUGCAAGGUUCAGAAAUCAAGAAAAGAUAAACACAUUUACAAUCAUUAUCUUAGAAGAAAAAGAAAAUGAUAUGCACGUUUUGAGCAGGAUAUAGUAAGUUAUCAACAUUCAUAAAAAAAAAUGAAGUAUAUGUUUUGUUUAUAGGAAAAUGAUUCCAAUUUUUAAAUAUCAUUUAUGAACUUGAUCAUAUUGAACUAAUGAGUUUUAUUGUUAACAAUUUUAUAGCUACAAGCAGAAGGGGCAAUUGGUAGGGUUGAUAGAAGUGUUUUAUGGAAGAAAGCAUGUGAGAAGAAAGGAAAGUUUAAUAAGAUUACAAAACCAAUGAUUAACAUGAUAGUAAGUUAGCAUAUUUAUUCCUUUUAGAGCCUAUAGUGUUAGUAUGUCCAUGUGAUUAUGGUUUGUGAUGAUAUCGUUAGGUGUUAAUAGGCAAGAGGCUUAAUGCUAUCAUUUUUAUGAGUAGUCAUGUUAGACUAGUGCAAAUAUAGUAGCCUAAUUUGAAAAUUAAUUUUGAAACAAUAUACAUUAAUUUAUCUAUUAUUCUUUAUAUUAAAACAAUUCAUUUUCUAGCUACCUUGAAUUGGUUGUCUUUGAUUGAUAUGUUAAUCAUCUUCAUCAAAUUAUUACUAAUAUAUGUUUUGUUGUAGGAUGAAUUACUAGAAAAGGCAAGGAGACUGGACUACCUCCACUUGGUCCAAAUGACAUAUUAUGUCAAGCAUUGGGUAAACUUGAUCAUCUAGGACAUGUGGUAGGUCAGGACCGUUUGGUUAGGCCCAACUCAUACUUUUAUCAAACAUUUGAUGACAUGAAAAAAAUCAAAGAAGAAAUAUGGGAAAUGGUGUGAAAGAAGAUGCAAGAUGCUGCAACAAGACAAGCUAUGUCUCCCCCCACACCCCAUUCUGAUAUGGGUAGUAAUAACAUGAGACAACAGCUUGUUUUACAACUAGUUGUAGCAAAAAAACUGAUGUUUGAAAUGAUGGAAGAGCCCCAACCACCAGAACCACCACUAAAACGUAAAGUAUACAUUUACUUACUAAUAAUACAAGAUUAAUAUAAGUGAUAUAUAGCCUAUGUAAAUGAUAUUAUUUGUUGUAUUGAAGGUAAUUAAAUAUAAAUUAGCAGUGGAAAGAAAAUGAAAUGUUGUUGCAACCGGUACACUAAUGAAAUGCUGAGCUUUCCAUUGCUUUGCCAUGGAUUCCCAAGAACUCUCCUCAAUCUCGGAUUGCUUUGGUGAUAAAAAAGUUAUCAAAACACCAAAACUUGACAAAAUUUGAUUAGAAUUGAUUGCAAGGAUCCUUAAUAUGUUAAUUGGGUUAAAAGGUGAUAACUACUACUCAAAAGUGUUUAAAAAAGUUAAUUACAAGCUAUGAAAUAACACUUUUUGAGUAGUAAUUACUCCCCCCAACCAACAUAUUGCUAGUCCCUUAGCAAUGAAGGAGAGAAAAAUAAAAAUAAAAAGUAUUAUAAUUUAUAACAUCAUGCUGAUCAAAAACCAAUUUCCAAGUGGCAUGAUGAUUUAACUCUCACAUGGAACAUUAAAGAAAUAAAACUCAAAUUUCAACAAGAGUUAUCAAAUAACUUGUCUAAUCACAAUUCUUAAAGAGAAGACAUUAUGUAAAUUUAAGCUUUAAAAGAGUUUCCACUCCCAAAGGGCCAAACCUUACUUUUCCACAAAAAUCUAAGUGUUAUUUAUUAGCUUCCGAAUAUAGUAUGUUGAACUAAUCUCUCCCCCUAACCUAGUUCUUUUUCAAAGCUUAGCAAACUAAUCAACCUCAAAUAGGUUAAGAACGCACCUCUUUUCUCACAAUUUUUUUUUUCAUUGUAGGAGUACAAGGCUUAAAGGUAUUCUUUUUUUAAAUUGUCCAUGUAAUGGGGGUCCAUUGAUGACUCCCAACCAAUUAAGGUUUAGGGCAUCAAGCUUUAAAGAUCUUUCAACCACUAACUCCUCGGAUUUUACCCCGGACUUUUGAGAAUGAAUUUUAAUACCCAAGCACCUACAGUAUGUUAGACUCCACCUUUUCACCCUUGUAACGAGCAUUGAGGUCGGUGACUCCCAACCAAUUAAGGCUUAGGGCACCAGGUUUUAAAGAUUUUCACCAUAUACCCCUCAGACCUUGCUCGAGUUUCAAGGCAAGUAAACAUUUUUUCUUUUUUCUUUUUUUUUUUUUCCAAAGGCUCAUUGGCCUUUUAUAAGGUGUCCCAACACUAUUAAAUGAGGUCAAAGGUACCAAGUCUAAAUUUUCCUAAGUCAAGAGGGAAAUAGUUUUUCAUCUUAUAAUCGGAACCUAUUGUACACAGUGUGUGAAUAGCUUAAAGUGGAAGAACUGAGGUUGAAUUCAAUAGAAGUUUCAACAAUUCAUCAACUUUAGUAAGCAUAAUACAAAAUCUAAGUCAAGUAAAAAGACAAAAAUUCAAUUUCUCCCUUUUCAUUUUGAAAAUUUUUCCUUAAUAACCAUGGAGAGUAGAAUAAAAAACUUUAAAAAAUUUUAAAAUUAAGCAAAAAGCAACUAAAUUACCAAAAUAACUUAGCAUUAUUAACAAAACUUACUUCCUCAACUCUCCCCCCAACCAAGCUGAACAUUGUUCUCAAUGUGACAAAAGCGAUUGAAAAAUAGGGAGGAAGUGGUACCUCCUGUGUGACAUGGAGUCUGAGUCAUAUAAGAGAAACCACAUGUUUAAAAAAAAAACAUAAGAGUUAGUGAGUAGAGGAAAUAGGCUGAUCAACAAAAGGAGGGGCCUGUGAUGGCUCUGAUGAGCUGGGAAUGGCAUGCUCAGGAGCUGAUGUAAUGCCGAGAUGAUGCUGGAUCUGCCUCAGGAUGGCAGUGUGUUGGGCCUGACUGGUAAGCCAUUUGAUCUAGCCUAACAACCUGGGGAAAAGGAGUGGAAUGGCAUCAGCUCGGAGUAGCUUCUUUCGAUUUUCUUGCAAUUCCUCCUGAUUUUAAUCAUUAAAAAAAAAUAAAAACUAUAUUACAUCAAAACAAAGUAAAAUUAAAGCAUUAAAAUCAAAAUUAAAGCAUUGAAAUCAAAAUUAAAACAAGUAAUAAAUAAAACAAAAAGGUAUGGACUAGCUAGUCUUUAAAAAGACUAAGUCCAUUAAAAAAAAUUUGAUCCUGAUUUAGCUUGCCCGGAUCCCAUAUGAAGCUUGCAUCCCUCACUUGAGACUUGCUCUGUAUGAUUUUUCCAUACAAAGCUCGGGGGAAAAGUGGAUGCAUGUGUUUCUUCAUCAUUUCUUCCUUGAUGACUAUUUUCAGUGGUUCUUCAUCUAUAUAGUCAUCUUUCUCUAUGCUUUUCCCCUUUUUCUUUCCUUUGAUUUCCUCCCUCUUUUCUUUCUCUGUUUCACUCUCUUCAUCAUGCUCUAGCUUGCAUGUGGGCAGAUCAACCUCUUUAUCACUCUCCUUAGCCUCCAUUUCAUGGAUACCCUUUUGAUUUUGAUGAGGUUGAGAAGGAGAGUUUUCUUUCUCUUGCAUUGUUUUGAGGUUGGCAAACCUUGAGAUUGAAUCUUGGAGAUUAUCUAUCUUCUGAGAUAGAUCAUUUUGCACUCCAUCCAUCCUGUCAAUUUUUUGACUGAGCUGAGCAUUGAUGGAUUUCUGAGCUCCAACAAAGUCUCCCACGACCUUGCUAAGAUUCACCAUAACUUGUUCAAGGUUUGAGGCUUGCUGUGGUGCUUGAGCAGGUUGCUUGUACUGAGGUGGCUGUGGUUUCUAAGAGAAAUUUGGAUGGUCCUUCCAAUUGGAAUUGUAGGUGUUGCAAUCACCAAACAUUUCCCUCAUGACUGGAAUGGUAGGACACUCUUCCACCAAGUGCUCAUAAGAUAGACAAAUGGCACAAGACAUAGCUUGCAAUGGUGUUUGAGAGAUGGCUUGCACUUUUUGCAUCUUUUUCAUUUCUAACUCUUCCAAUCUCCUUGCCAUAGCUGUAAUCUUUGCCUUCAUGUCUAUGCCGUCAUUCAAAAUAUACAUCUCACCCUUAGCAUUAGGUUGAGACGUCAUUCUUCCCAUAUCUCUAGCAUUUGGUUCAUCCCAUUCUCUUGAAACUUCAGCCAGAUAACUCAUGAAAUUCAUGGCUUCCUCUGCUAUCUUGUAUUCAAUAUGGCAUGCACAACUAGCAAUUUGUGAAUUAAAAACAGAGAAAACAAAAGAAAAUAAAAGAAAAACAAUUCUAAGAAAAAAAAUAAGGUAAACUAAAAACUAAAUAAAAUGUAUUCUAAAAUAUGAACAAAGGAAAAUAAACAAAUAAAAAGAGUUAGUAAAAGGAAAAGAAAAGUCACCAAACUUGUGAUGAAGAUCACAAGUACUCUAAAAAGGUCAUAUCACUGUAAAGUGGCACCAUCCCCGGAAACGGCGCCAUUUGAUUCGUGCCCAAUUGGUGUCUCAACUGAUUCAUGUCCAGCUGGUGCUCCUUGAUUGGGGGAGUAAUCAACAAAAUUUAUAACCUAUUACACCAUGAACUAGGAUAGCAAAGACAAAGCUACUAUAGCAUAGUGGCUCUAGGAUCGUUCACUGGGAUGGGUUUUCACUUCACAAUUGAUAUUAAUUCAAAGAUGAAUUGGUGCCUUUUCAUUUCAAGGUUAGCUUUAAAGGAAAACAUAAAGAUGUUUGAAUGAAAAAGGUUUGGUUUUAAACUAACCAAAAAUAGUAACUGAUUUUACUUACAAAGAAAAGUGUUUCUUGGAGUUUAGAUCACUAGGCUCAGGUUCCUUAUACAAAAAGGGAGUUCCGGUCACUUAUUUCUUUUCCUCGCAUUGGGGAUUUAACAUAUAGUUAUUUCCCGAACCGGUGUGGUACAGAUGCUUCCCAUUAAUGGGUUCAAACACUAAAUCCCUCUCACUGAUGCAUCUUGCAAUGGCUCGGGCCUCUCACCUAGCAUUUGCCAUUCAAGGUGAUCUUUAACCUUGGACUUCCCGUCAAAACUCGCAAGAGAUAACUAAUGGAUGUCUCCGUGGAUCCAAAAGCUUACCAAGUGUUGGCUAUUCUAGAAAAUCCUACCUUCAAACCACCUCCCAAAGGCUCGCAAGAGAUAAACUAGUGCAUCUCAACGGAUGGAGAUCACUUGCCUUACCAAGUGUUGGCCCAGGUGAUUUAAAGACGUUUUAAGUUAACUAAAAAGAUAAAAACCAUUAACGGGUCACACUUUCUCUUCAUUAAAAACUAAAACAACAAAACUUCCAAUUCUUGCAUUUGGAAACUUACCUAGCUUUCUUCAUUCCAAGAGAUGAAGAGCCUAGCCUCUCAUCCUCUGAGGAAAAAUCCUCAGAGUUUGGUUGGCUAGAAAUAAAAAGAACGAGAAAACAAAAAUAUGUAUGAAAAGCAGAGCAAGUGCUCUGUAUUUUACUUCCUUCCAAAAUUGUACAAAGGAUGCGUCGUCUUUGAGAACAAGCUCCCGAGAUUCUACAUAUAUAUUUUUUAUGAAAAUUACAAAACUAUAUAUAAGAGGUUAUUCACCCUUUUUUCUUACUUAAAGACUAAGGAAUCCUAUGAUAGGUGGGUUACAAGGAGACUUUGGGGAUUUAGACAUCAAAUAUCUAAAGCAAAAUAUCUCAAAAUGUCGGUCGCACAUUGGGGAUUUAGACAUCAAAUAUCUAAAGCAAAAUAUCUCAAAAUGUCGGUCGCACAUAUCAGGAAGCUUCAGGAGAACACUACGGCACUGUGUAGAAAAAUAUCUCAAAAUGUCGGUCGGACAUAUAGGGAAGCUUCAGGAGAACACCGUGGCACUGUGCAAAAUGGAUGCGAAACUCUCUGGGUAAGCGCUAUCAGAGGAUCCGGAUAUGUCUGACCGGGGAAGUUGAAACGCCCUCUUCUCCCAUCCGGCAUCAAGCGUCGGAUGCGAAAUAUCCGGAUGGAAUGUCGGCAGAGCAAAAUUCCGAAUGUGAGACAUCCGGGUGGAAUGUCGGCGGAGCAGAAUUCCGAAUGUGAGACAUCCGGGUGAAAUGUCGACGGAGCAAAAUUUCGAAUGUGAGACAUCCGGGUGGAAUGUGCGAUGCCACAGCCCACAUUUUGCCGCCCUUCGAUGGUGUGUCCGGACGGAUCCCAUACUCCUUGCAUUCCGGAUUUGCUUAUGGCAAAGGACUUCAAAGCUUCGGUUCUUUUUGUUUUUGAGCUUUCCAUUUCUUUACCAUGGAUUCCAAAGAACUCUCCUCAAUCUCGGAUUGCUUUGGUGAUAAAAAAGCUAUCAAAACACCAAAACUUGACAAAAUUUGAUUAGAAUUGAUUACAAGGGUCCUUAAUAUGUUAAUUGGGUUAAAAGGUGAUAACUACUACUCAAAAGUAUUUAAAAGAGUUAAUUACAAGCUAUGAAAUAGCACUUUUUGAGUAGUAAUCAACUUGUUAAUGGUGUUCAUAGCCUUCCAUACAGUCUUUUCAUGGCCAUCUAAAUUCAGCACUCUUAGCCAUGGGAAGUAAUAAGAUAAAGACAAUACAUAUAGAUGAGAAAGUACAGUAAAGAAGGAUUCAACAUGUUGCUCCUCUUCAACUAUAGGGCUUCCAUCUUUUUUUCGUUGGCCAAAGUAUCUUGUGUUGAGGAUCAUCUUCUAGAUGACAUUCCCGCUAUAUUGACAGACUGUAUUUCUAUCACACCCCAAAUACUGGGCAACGCAGAACUUGACUCAUGACCCCAGGUCAAAGGUUUGACCCUAAGAGUUACAAUUAUCCAUGUUGGCAAUCAAUCAAAACAUCCUGAAUUUUUUUUUUCAAUAAAGCGUUUAAUCCUAAAUAAAUUUAUUAAGUUAAGAUUUACUGUAACAUAUUAUUUUAUUUUUCCAAAACCAACCAUCACAUUAUCUCCUAUUCACAAGUAUUAAAAAAAAUAAAAUUCCACCGAUCAUCUUCCUACCCAAAAGCUCAAAUAUUUACAAUAAUCUCUAAGUCAAAAAGAAUAUUUCCAAAAAUGUUUUACAAACUAAUAAAAUAUAAUUUAACUUACAAAAGUCCAUAUAACUCAAAUUAGUGGAUGUCAAAAAGGUAUUAAAAAAAAACAACCAUUAUUAUGGUUUUUUUUUUUUUUUUGCUUUUUGAAACACUUCAUGAUCUUCCUAUGGUCCCUCAGAAACUAUAUCUGCAUCUAAAAAUUUUAUAAAAUAAAGGGAUGCACAUUUCCACGUUACUCUUUAGACCUAAAUGGGUUAGAAAUUCUAGGUCAAUAAAACACAACCAUAUGCCAAAAUAUAAUAUUACAUUUACAUUAUACACACUAAAAGAACCUCAACCAUACAUAUUUAAAUCAAUCAAAAUUAUCAUUUUCCUUAUUUAAUCAUAUGUCUAGCAUAUCAAUAAUUUUAAAUUUACAAAAUAAAUAAGUCACUUUAGUCUUGAAUAAUAUAUUCAAACAUACACUUGAUAAAUAAUACAAAUUCUUCUUCCAAAUGCAACCAUGAUGCAAAUGAUUACACACAAUCACACAAUGCAUUGUCAUUCUCGGGUUUUCACUGAAGGAUACACGUUUGUACCUAAAUACACUUCCCAUUCGGAGUCUUCCUAGGGUAAACUUUUGAGUUUUUCACCCUAAGGAUCUCACUUCCUUCUUAAUUCGCCCUCUCUAGGGUCAUUCAAUUUCUUAUUUUUCUUUUCUUUUCAUUUUUGCCAUUUUCGGGUCUUUUUAUUCUCAUUUCUAUUUCACACAACCGUUUCUUUAAUUUUUCUUUUUCUUCACACAAUCAUGAUGCAUAUGAAAUGCAACUGAAUCAUAUUUUAACAUCCAUAAUUUUCCAAGACAUAAUUCUAUUUACUCCCAUUAUGUUUCAUAAUUUCCAAUAAUCCACACAAUGAUUUUUCUUCACUUUAAUCGUCACAAACAUAAAAGAAAAUUCAUAAUUAAUUUGUAUAGUAUUAAAACAUAGUUUUAAACAUUGACCACAUAAAUUCUAUUUAUUCCCAACAUGCUUAGUAAUUUCCAAAUCCAAUAUAACCAUUUUUUUUUCAAUUAAAUAACCAAACAUAUCCAAGAAAAUUCCCACUAAUACAAAUAUCAACAAAAAUGUAAUUUAUGUCAUAAUUUAUUUGUCUCCAAUAAUUUCAAAAAUUUUAACACCCAUAUGACAAUUUUCCACAAUUAAGCCACCCUAACAUUCGGGAAAUUUUUUUCAAUAAUUCAAAUAUCAACAAAAACCCAAUUUAUAUCAUCAUCUUAUUUAUUUAUAAAAACAUUAAUAAUUUUAAUAAUCAAUACGACACUUUUCCACAAUUAAGCCACCGCAACAUUCUGGGAAAAUUUUCCAAUAAUUCAUAUAUUAACAAAACACAAUUAUACCUUAAUUUUUCUUAUCUCCAACAACAUCAAUAAUUCUUAGUACUCAAUAUAACUAUUUUUAUUUUUUCAUAUUUAAUAUUCUCAAGCACUACCAAAAUUCCAAGAAAAAUCCAUAAAUCACGAAAUAAAAUUAUUCACAACAAUAAUCACACUUCAAAUACCACAAAUAACAUCUAUUAUCUUUCAACAACACAAUAUAUAAUUUUUUUUCAAAGAAAAUAUUAAAUCAAAGUUUUAGGGUUAAAUCACCCUACCUUAAAUGUGAAAAAUUUAACCGUUAAAACUAAAAUGGGACACCGUAGGAGUAUUCCUCGCAUUGAAUAGAAUAUCUUUCUAAAAUUUCACGUGAAAUGGAUGUCAUUUGGUAGGUCCACCAGCGUCCUAAAGCUGGCGACCCAUUUUUCCCACUCUCUAUCGACGACUCCCCUACAUCUCUCACUCAAUUUCCUUUCUUCAUUUUUUUUUUCUUCUUUUAAACUCCCACGCCAAUUUCACUUUAUAUAUAUAUAUAUAUAUGUGUGUGUGUGUGUGUGUGUGUGUGUGUGUGUGUGUGUGUGUAUUAUUAAAACAAAUCCUAAAAUACCACGCACAUCCCUUUCUCAAUAAAUUAAAACCAUUAUUCUUAAAUUCACCUUCCGUAAUUAUGAAUUAUACCAAACUUAUGAUUUUCCAUCUCACGAAAAAUACCACCGUAUUCGUAAUUUAAUUUACUACAAGCCUACUCUUCAAAAAGUAUAAUUUGAUUAUAAUUACAUGAAACAUUUUUUUUUACUCUGAAAUUCAUUUAAAACAUGAUAUAAUUAACUAUUAACAAAAUUCAAUUCCAUAAAAUAUUAAAAACAUAAAAUAAUUUUUUGGCAAUCAAGAAGUUGAAAUUUGUAAUAACCCUUAACCUGUUAAUUUUACCCAUAUUUAUUUACCAACAAAAAUUUAAAUAAUAUUCUAAAAUUUAAUUCCAUAAAUUAAUUAGUCAUUCAAUUUAUAAAAAUCAAAUUCUCUACCAUUUGGUAUAACUUUUAUUUAAUUUAAUUCAUUUGUCAAAUUAUUCAAUCGCAUCAAAAUUUCAAAAGUUAAAUUCACUAAAUUCACAUUUAAUUAAUUUAUCAUUUUGUAUUUUUUUCUUCUAAAUUCACAUAUCAUAAUUUAAUCUUAAUUUAAUUUUGAUUCAAUUCUGUUUGAUGUUUUGUAAUUUUAUGAGGUUUAAUUCCAAUUAUAAAAAUUAAAUUCAAUUUCCUUUUAAUUAUCCAUUAUCACAAUUUGAUAUAAUAUAAAUUUUUAUCAAGUUUUUCUUACUACGAUUUUUCUGAUAAUUAUCCAAUAAUAAUUAAAUUAAUUCUUGUAACAUACUUAAUAUUCAAAUUUUCAAAACUUAAUAUCAAUUAUUUGAUAGUUAAUUUUUUUCUCCAAAUCUAAAUUUAAUUUAUGAAAUUCUCACUCCUUACAUCUAAUGUGGCAAAAUUUUCAAACUAUUGACUUUUGACCAACUUUUCCUAAAUUUCUCCUAAUUAAAUACUAACAUGUGGAUUUUCACCACUCUUUUUGACCUUUUGACCCACAAAUUUAUGAAAGACUUUAUGCUUGGAGAAUCUACAAAAACGUGGGUAUUACAAUUUCUCGGGUUGAUAACAGUCGUGGUUAAGAAGCCACCACUUGAAUACUCAGUCGCCAUUGUAAUGGGUGUGGAUGCAAAUAGUACAUCAUGUUUCUUCAAAAGUUCUCUGCUAAUCUCUAGGGAAGUCACGAGAACGAGAUGAAAUAUUGCCUAAUUGAAUACAUGCAAUUUCAUUGUUCAUUUCUUUCAUAAAGCCAUGUAUCCACCGGAAAGUUGGCUUGUUGUUGAGUAAAUGAGGUAGAUUUCGCACUAGUGGCCAUGGAGCUAAUCCUGGAGGAAGUUGUAUUGGCUUGCUUUUGGUACUUGUUUUGGAUUUUAAUUUAGUGAAGAUGAGAAAGAUUGAUGUGAUGAAGAGUAGCAAGAGGAAGUUGAGAUGAGACAACACAUCGUCUAUGGUAGUAGAAGAAAAUAAGGCUGAGUUGCUGCUACUACUCUCUACAACAAAACCAUUUACACGUUUUUUUAUUGCAAAACCAUGUUUGUCCUGUCUUGGGUCUGGAUGCACAUUUUUAAUAAUGGGGAAAUCAUGCAACCAAACGUCACAUACAAAGAGAGAGAGAAAAAAAAUAUUACCCAUUCUUGAACUCUAAAAGUAAAGUUAUAAAAAGCUUAGUUUUUUUUUUUGGUUAUGUAUGAUUGCAUGAUUUCCCCCUUUUAAGGUUUUAUCUCAUAAUUUUUUUUUCUAGAAGGUUCAAAUAAGUUUGAUGAAUAUUGUUUAUUUUAGUAAUUUGAUGAAGAUUUUUUAUUUUAGUAAUUUUAAUUUUAUGGGGUACUUAAAACAUUAGAAGGUCACAAAAAGCAACAUUUAUAAGCUACCUGUCUAAAAAUCUUGGCCUAAUCAUUGAAAUUCAAAAUAUAAAGUGACAACACACUUUUUAAAGCAAUUUUCAAAAUAGUUUUUAAAAACACAUUUAUGAUAUUUUUAAAAUAAAAAUCUCAAAAAUAACUUGUUUAUAUAGCGUUUUAUUAGACAAAUAGUUGAUCUUUACAAGAUCACCCUAAUUAUAGAUUUAUGAACAUGUAACACAACAAUUAUCUAUAUAUAUAUACUUAAAAUUAUUAUAUUUUAAGUUUUUAACUACAUAGGACAUCAUGAGUUCUUCCACCAUUUAUCUUAUAAUAAGUUUAUUUAAAUAUGAUAAAGGAUAUAUUAUCUCAUUUUUUAUUAUAUCUAAUGUUAUAUAUAUAUAUAUAUAUAUAUAACAAAUCAAAUACAAUUUAAAGAUUUUAAUUAACCAUCUAUUAGCAACAAAGCAAUCUCUUAAUCUCAUUCAUAAUAUUAGGAUAAUUUAGUAUUCCCUUUUAUAAAACACUAGCAUAUAAAUCAACACAAAUCAUAUUAAGGGUGUAUUUGGUAUUGAUUUUAGAAAACAUUUUUAGUAUUUCUAAUACUUGAAAGAUAAAAAAAUUCAAGUUUUAGAAAAAUCAAAAACGUUUUUUAGAAUGACUAUCAAAUACACGCUAAAUAUUACUUUUGAAUAUUUAUAUUUUUAAAUAACUUUUAAAUCUUUUAAGGCAAGUCUCUACUAUUUCUAUAAAUCCCCUAUUAUUUUUAAUUUUUAGAAACAAAAAAUAAAGAAUAGGAACUCCAUUUAAACAUCACCUUAUUAUUUCCUAUUAUAAAAUAGCACAAAUCAAAUGAAUUAUUUAAAAAUAAAUAAAUAUAAAAUCAAAGUUGAAGAGAAAAAACUCUUGUGCAUUAAAAAAACAUCAAAAUAAAUAAAUAAAUAAAACAUCAUCAAAUAAAUGUAAAAACAAAAUAAUGUUAUGGAAAAAUGAGAAUAGACAACAAGAAAAUAAGAACACGUAGAUUUACAUGAAAAGUCCUAGACGGGAAAAACCAUGGAUAGAGGAGAAGAAAUUCCACUAUAUUAAAAUUUUGGUAUAAAAUGUGAGAGAAUCAAGCGAGUAUUGUAUAGGCAUAAUCACUACGACCCUAAAUCCUAUACAUCAUCGCAUAGGUAUGGUGUAUGCGAUAAUAUUUGUGAUAAUAAAAAUAUUGUCACAUAAAAUAACUAUGGAAUGUAAUAUUUGUAAUAAUAUUCUUUACAAAAAAAUAUUUUUUCUUUACUUUAUUCACUUUGAUCACAACUUGAAAUAAGACAAUAAAAAUAUUUUCUUAAUUUUUGAAAAUUAAUUGAGGACUUAGAGCAGCUUGUUACUGAGUGAAUUUGCUGAAUGGUGAAGAAUGCGAGUAUAGUAGUUUUGCAAUUUUUUAGCCUUGUAGACAUAUUUUGUGAAGUCUUUUUCUCUUUGUAAAGCCCCAUUUUCUAUGUGAAGUUAUUUUUUUAAUAUUCUCUUUGGAAGUAAUUUAUCAUUAGUUAUAUAGGUAAGAUUAAGGAAUUAAAUUUGGAAUUCUUAAGAUUUGGUUGCUUAAUUCAAAGAAUUUGGUUCAAGGGAAAUUUGCCAACAAAAUAAUAUUUAUUUUUAAUUCUAUGAUGACUUUAAUUAUUUGAUAUAAUUUUAUUUUGAAAGACUUGAUGUGGGGGACUCAUCACUUAUUGAGUCCAAAUUUUGUUGCACCCAAAUUUUUAUGAGCUAAGAAACCAUAAUUUUAAAGACCAAUUCAAUGGUAAGUGAAUCCGCUAAAAUCUUCUAUGUACAAAUGACCUCACUUCAAGGUGCAACACAUACAUGUAUUAUUAUGUGUAUGGGAUGAGUCUUGAAGUUAGUCUUCAUUCCUCUUUGAUUUUUUUUUCUUCAAAUAAAUAAAUAAAACAUCAUCAAAUAAAUGUAAAAAUAAAAUAUGUAUCGGUUAAUUGGAGAGGAGAGCUUUAAGGGCAUUUCUUCCAUGAAAUUCUAUGCUCCGCGUACCAUAAAUUCGUACUCAACCAACAAAAUUGCAGAAUGGGCCCAUGCACAAACAAAAAUAGCCCAAAUGUAAAUAUCUAAAAAUGUAUAAAGUUCACAAUAGAUGAUCAAGCCCAAAUUUAAAUUUAAAAUUAGUCCAACAGGUUUCAUCAAUCAAAAUGGGCCCAAAUUAGCAAAUAUAACCCAACAAAAAUAUCUCAUAUGUCAUAGGCCCUAAUCUAAAAUUUUCAAAUUAAUAGCCAAAAUAUAAGUUCAAUUAAUCAAACCUAAAACAUAAUAAAUUAAAAUAAAUCUCAUUAGGCCUAAACUUAAUAUUCCAUAAUUCAAACCUAAUUUAAUAUAUAAACCUAAAUCCACAAUCAAAAUCAACCCAAUUUAUGCUAAUCCCAAUUUACAAUCAAUAUCAAACACAAUUUAAUAAGUAAAUAACUAAAUAGAUUAAGCAAACUCAAAACACCCAAACCACUACGGCAUAAAUCAAACAAUAAUAAAUAUAAUGACAACAAUAAUAAUAAUAAUAACAAAAUAAAAUAAAAAUUUUAACUCACGUUGGAGCCAGUUUAAAUGUCGUGGGAAAGAAAGAAAAUAGGAGAAAAGUGAGAGAUGAUUGACAACUGAUAGAGGCUUGCCGGCGGCGACUGGCCGGUGGUCCUGUUGAUGGUAGUGAAGAUUGAUGGGUUUUUGGGAAAAAAGAAAAAAGAAAAUGAGGAGUAAUAAAAAAAUGGAGAAAUGAGAGGAAUGUAGGAGAAGAAAGGAGAUAGAGAAUGUAGAAAAUGGGCGAAAAGAAAUGGGGCUAGCUGGAGGAGGAAGUGGUAGUGUGUGUGAGUUAAACUAAAGAAGAAUGGAAGAAGAAAAUGGAGAAAAAAUGGAAAAUAAGGGAGAAAAAACAUUCGGCCCCCUAAAUGAAGAGAUGUGGGUAGCCUAAAGAAGAAGAAAAAAUAAAAUAAAAUGAAGAGAAAAUGAGAAGGGGUCGGUGGUCUUGCGAAUGAGGUGGUGGUAUGUGUUAGAGAGAGAGUGGGUGGGAUUGUUGGGAAAGGUAUGGGAGAGAGAUGAGAGAGAAAAUAAAAAAAAGAUAAUAUAAAUAAUAAUAAUAAAAAUAAAAUAAAAUAAAAUAAUAUAUAAAAUAAUAAAAACUAAUAAUUAAAUAGUGAGUGGGCCAAAAAUAUCAUAUGUAAUCGAGAUUUAAUUUUAAGAGUAAAAUUGGGCUAAAAAUUAAUGUAAAAAUAAAAUUAGGACAAAUUUUGGGGUAUACAAAUAUGCGCCUCUUUAGUAGAGUCCACGAGUAAAGCAAGUGUAUAUGUGGGCGAAACAAACUGGGCUCUACUGAAAAACAAGAAAUACCAGCAAAUUUGUCUUAGUAUGACACGAGUUCUCCCAAAUUAAAACAAAACAAAAAGAAAUUUUAAAACCCCACACAAAUGGCAAAAACGGAAACUCCUAAGGUGUCUCUAAAGUUAUACUAUGGAUCUAGACUCCCUUAGAAAAGCCUCCAAAAAUGGCCCAAAAAUCGGUGUCAAAAUCGAGUAGCAAUUAGACCACUAAGGAGCGUAUGAACGAAUGUGUACAAAGGGAAAAAAACCAUACAAGGACAAAAGGCAUAAGGUAUCCAACAAUAUGACUGAAUCACAUGUUACAAGCUCAAAAGACUUUGUCAUGCACCAUGGAGGAGGGGAAGCUCUAGAAUAAUGUGAUGAGGAAGUUAUUAGCACAAUGUAACAGAGUGAGAAAAAAAGCAACGAGUGCAAAGCUGUGAGGACAAGGUGCACAAUGCUAAUGAAUAUGAAAUGAAUAGCACUGGGCUAUGAUGCAAUGAAUAGCUAAGGGUUGUAGCAUAAUGAACAAGUCAAGGAUGUGUAAAGAUGAGGAACAACUCAAGGUUGUAAUGCAAUGAACAACUUAGGGCUGUGAUUGCAAUGAACAACUCAAUGCAAUUAAUGCAAUGAAUAGCUCAGGGCUGUGAAUGCAAUGAACAACUUGAGGUUGUGGAUGCAAUGAACAACUCAUGGUCAUGGAUGCAAUGAACAGCUCAAGGCCGUGGAUGCAAUGAACAACUUAGGGUUGUGGAUGUCAUGAACAACUUAAGAAUAAGGGCACUGUACACCCAAAAGGGGAAAUCACGAUCUACGAUUCCAAGUCAAACCACUAAAGGGUGACCAAGAUGAGGGUGAUCAACUCACUAAAAAAGAGGAUCAAAAUGUCUCAAGGGAAGGGGGAUGCCCCAAAUGAAACUUAAAGGAAAUGAAUAGCACUAAUGAAACUAAAAAAAGAAAAUAUGUCACAACUGAAAUUGAAAAAAUAACAAAGUUAGAUUAAAGUGCAAUGAACAACUUUGGGUUGUGGAUGCGAUGAAUAGUACCGUGCUAUAAUGAAAUGAAUAACUCUAAGAUAUGGGCAUUGUACGCCUAAAAAAGGAGAUCGUGGUCUAGAAAUCCAAGUCAAACCACUAAAGGGCAACUAGAAUAGGAUGAUCAGCUUACUGAAAAUGAGAAUGCAACUAUCUCGAGAAAAAGGGUAUGCCCCAAAUGACACUCAACAGUAAAAGAAUGACACAAAUGAAACUAAAACAAGAGGAUGCCACAAAUGAAACUGAAAUGAUAACAAACUCACAAAUAAUGUGCAAUGAACAACUUUGGACUGUGGAUGCAAUGAAUAGCACCAGGUUGUAAUGAAAUGGACAACUCUAAGAUGUGGGCACUAUACACCUAAGAAAGGAGAUCACGGUUUACGACUCCAAGUCAAACUGCUAAAGGACGACUAGAAUAGGAUAAUCAACUAUCUAAAAAUGAGGAUGCAACUAUCUCGAGAAAAAGGGUAUGCCCUAAAUGACACUCAACAGUAUAAGAAUGACAUAAAUGAAACUAAAAUAAGAGAAUGCCACAAAUGAAACUAAAAUGAUAACAAACUCAAAACUAAUGUGCAAUGAAUAACUUUAGGUUGUGGAUGUAGUGAACAACAUUGGGUUGUAAUGAAAUGAACAACUCUAAGAUGUGGGCAUUAUACGCCUAAAGAGGGAAAUCACGAUCUACGACUCCAAGUCAAACCACUCAAGGGCGACUAAAAUAGGAUGAUCAACUCACUAAAAAUGAGAAUGCAACUAUCUCGAGAAAAGGGGUAUGCCCUAAAUGACACUCAAUAGUAAAAGGAUGACACAAAUGAAACAAAAACGAAAGAAUGCUACAAAUGAAACUGAAAUGAUAACAAACUCAUGACUAAAUUGCAACGAACAACUCUGGGUCGUGGAUGCAAUGGACAGCUCAAGAAUAGGGGAAUUGUUGGCCCAAAAUGAGAGAUUGUGGUCUGCGACUUUGAGUCAAACCACUAAAGGGUGACUAAAAUCAAAAUGAUUAACUCACUAAAAAUGAGGAUCUAAACAUCUCAAGAAAUGGGAUAUGCCCCAAAUGAAACUCAAAUGAAAGAGAUGCCACAAAUGAAACCGAUAAUAGAGGGAUGCCCUAAAUAGACUAAAGAAAAAGGGGUGCCCUAAACAAACUAACGGAAAAUGGAUGCCUUAAACAAACUGACGGAAGUGAAAUGCCCUAAAUAAAUUGACCAAAGAAGAAUGCACUAAACAAACUCCGAGAAAAAAAAAAAAAAAAAAGUAUGUGAUAUACAAUCGAAAACACCUAAAGCAAAAAUAAGAAACAAAAAAUGUGGUUUACAACUAGAAACACCCAAAAGAACCCUAAAGAAGUGAUUGGGAUAAUGAACUCAAUGAAAAUGGGGUAUGCCACAAUAAAAGACUCGGAAGUAUCAGCAAAUGGGUCAAACAACCAUGAAAUCAAUAGGAGAUAUGAUGAACCCAAAAAGGGUGUAUGCCUCAACAAAAGAACACUAAAAUAGGGGUAUGCCCUAGUGUAAAAUAGUGACCAACAUAAGACGCAAAAUGUCACCAUACAAGACACUCUAGGAUAUGCUCAAUGACAAUGUAAUGAAAACAUAUAGCCUCAAUUAACAAAUGUUCAAGCAAAACCAUGCAUCACAUAAACUAAAAUAAUAGGCUAAACAAAUGCUAACUAAGACUCUCAGUCUAAAAUAUAAGCAAGUUAAGACAUGACAUGUCAACCAUCAACAUGAAAACAUCAUCACAAAUACAUCAACAAUCUAAUAGUCCCUGUUAUCAUGGAAGAUGUAGAACCUAACGUCCAAAGGCAUGUGAAAGCUCAACCAGAAAACUCAAAACUAGUCUGUAUCCUCCUCUAAUCAAGAGAAUGGGACAAGGUUAUGUAAGAUGAUGAAAUAGGCAAACUCAAUAUCGGUCAGGCUCUGCCAAGAUGGAUGUAGGUAUAAUAGUGUCAAAGGUAGGAUGUUUGGAUGUCCAACGAAGGAAACUAGGUAUCCAAGUCGAACCAAGUAUAUUGAGGAAACUGAACCCAGGGGUCAAUAACUUUAUGAUCCAUUGAAAAUAGCAAUCAUGAAUAGAAGGUUGAGUCUCGAUGUCAAAAUCAACAAGGUGGCUAUGCCCCAGUAAGAAUACAUCUUCUCAAAAUGGGUAAACCCUCAAUGCAAGAUAAUCUCUAGAAAGUAUGUGUCUAGUAUAAACCGUUAUCUCACAAAAUCUAUCACUAAUGAGUGGGCUAUGUCCUAGUGUAAGCAUUUCCAAAAUCAAACAUCAAUGAGAGGAGUACAACCAAUCAUACAUAAUUUGAUCAAAAUGAAUCUCCACUCCUCAAAGUCAUCAUGGUAACGUGAAUAGAGUAUCUAUCCGCAUUUAAAGAAAGAUCAUGUCCCAAUGUGAAAAAGAUCAAGCAAAGUGGUAUGCCUCAACAAAAAGGCAAUCUAACAUGAUCAUGCCUAGAUGUAAGUUGGUAUCUUUAAGAUCAAUUGCCAAUGAAAGGGUUAUGCCCCAAUAUAGGGCAAUAUUUGAAAUGACUAAAAUCCGUUGCAAGCUCUCACAAGUGUCUAUGUCAUGAACCAAUCAUCUCCAAAAAAAAAAAAAAAAAAAAAUCUAUCAACAAUGAUGAGAAGGCUAUGCUUCUAUAAUCACAUCAAGGAAAUCACCCAGUCAUAUCUUGUACUCCAAUGUGAAAGGAAAAUAUGAUCACCUCCAAAGAAUGGCUAUGCCCCAAAAUACAUCAUUGAUUGAGAAAUAUGUCCCUACAUAAAGUACAUCAACUGAAAUAUGUCAAUCAUGCCUCAUGCUCCAAUGUGAAAAAGGACGUAUAAUCUUCUCUGGGGGAUGGUCAUGACUCAAAAUCCAUCAUCAAUUGAGAGAAAUAUGCCCCGACAUAAUGGUCAUCUAAAAAAUCAAUCCCUGACCAAGAAAUGUGUGCCUUGAUGUGAUGUAUCAAGCAAAAUGGCUGCAUACCCCAUAAAAAACUCUCUAAGGUGGCUAUGCCCUAGUGUAGGAUCAUACCACAUCUCCUGGUCUAUCAUAAUCAAAAUGCUCUCCAACCAAUCCCAAUUAUCGCUCACAUGAGAGCUAUCAAACACAAUGUGUGAUGUCAUGGCCUCAAGAUGGUCUUAAGAUUUAGGACGUAACGUAGGCUAGGGUAAUAAGGUGAAGAAAUGAAGGGAAACUAGGCUCAAUAAUCCCAAUGAUAAAACCCCAUACCUUAAGGCGAAUGAGAUAUCAUGAGAAGAACAAAUAAAUCGAAGAAAAAUGAAUGAGCACUAAUCCACUCAAAUGAAGUCAUGGAGAAUAGUCAAAUCACCAACGUAUGUAAUGAUGGAGAAGACAAUGAUUCGAAAUCCCUAGGAAAAUGUCACUUGUCUGUCACACAUAAAAUACAUAACGAGAUAGACACAAAAAGAUGAGAGCCUCUUGAAAUUUCACAUACGAACUUUCAUAAGCAACUAACUCGAUAAAGCAACCUCAAUGACCAAUAUAAACACUUAAUAAAGGAUGACAUUGUAUACAUGCGCUUAUUACUUUUUUUUUCUUUUUUUUUUCUUUUACCUGCGCAUACUCUGAAUAUCAAUAAAUGAACUUUUUUGAGAAUACAUAAUGAAAUGGAUAUACUCUCAAACAAUGAUGUAAGCGAACUUUCUCUGCCAAGAUGACCCUCUAAAUUAAGGAUUUUUGAACUAACGUCCAUGAGAUAAGAGUGGAGGAGAAUAUAGCCAUCCUUCAUGCACCGAAAUGUGAAAGAUCAUCACCCAUGGCAUAAAAAAAUGUGAUGAAAAAAAAUAAAAGAUGAAACAGAAGAUAUAAACAAUGAAGUAUGAUGUUGGGACAACAAAAAAAAAUAGUGAAGAAGGUGAGCUAAUAAGUCCACAACUCAUGAAACUCUCGAAUAAAACAUAUAUAACCAAAAGACCCCUAUCCCGGUGUAAAAUGUGAGCAAGGAUAUCAGAAAGAAAAGACUAUGAUGAUCAUGUGAGGUUCAAAGGGCUAGCAAUGGUCCAAAUGUCAAUAAAGGUAAUAGGGUGUGAGCUAACCGAAAUGAAGGUCACCCAUCCUAUGACCAUGGUCUCAAACAUCGUGCUCUUAAGCUUUCAAAUGAUUAAUAUUGAAAAUCGAUGUCCAUUUGAUAUAAACAUGUCGACCUUUUGGAAUUGUGCGCCAAACCAUACUCCAAAUGCUCCAUAAUAAUCUCAAAGAUAAUCCUCUCAAAGCAAAGUAAAUGGCGAUCUCAUAAGGCACAACUACUCAUCAUAAGCCAACUCUCAUCAUGCAAGAUCAAUCUUUAUUUUCAUGGAAAAAUAAGUGACAAUCUCAUCAGGCAAUCAACCAAUUCUCACAUCGUAAACCAACCAAAGAUCAUAAGUCAUUCAUCGCCAUGCAAGAUUAAUCCCGGGUUCAAACUCCUCACACUCUACCUAGUUGGAUUAGAGAAGAAAUGGACAAAACUAGAAAAAUUGAAGAUGGAAAGGUCAUAUAAUGGUGUCAAGGGUGAUGUUGUGCAAAACUCACAAUGGAUGGAUGUAGGUCAAAGCAAAGUCAAUGUGUGAGAGUGAGUAAGGCACUACUCUGAUCAUAAGAAGAUGGGUCACAAUCUCAAACUCCCUAGGUCAAAUCUCCGAUCCUAGGCUAAUAAGCUCAAUAUCCUCCAUGAUAGGUCAGCCCCCAAGAUCACAAUGUGCAAAUGAAUACAUGUCUCAAGUCAAAAGUACAACACGUCAUAUGAUAUAUGGUCCUGCGAUGGCAAUCUAAAACUGGAAAUAUGUUAGAAACUCUAAGGUCAUAAAGGUGUCCACUGUGAGAUGACUACAAAUGUGACUAAAGAAUCUUUAUAAAUAAUCUAGAAAAUGAAUGAGGUGUGAAAAACAACACUAUCAUGAGAUCGAUAUCCCAUCAAUAACAAAAUAUCUCUAAUUCAUUUUCAAUCUAAGCUCUAUAAAGAAUAAUAAUAAGGUUAUAAAGACAAACCUCUCAAAAGUGGUGUGAAUGUGAAAACAUGUCUUCACCUUUCUGCAAUGAAAAUAUCAGGUUGAAAAUAGAAAUAUGCAAAUCAACCAAAAAAUGAAGUACCGAGUCUAUGACAGGUGAAGAAUGUAAAAAUGUGAACAUGAUCAAUGAACAUAUCCCAAAACAUCAAGCAGAAUGUGACAACAAACCGAAAGAAUGUGUCGACUUAAGAAAAGAAGACUAUCUGAAGCCCUAGGGAGAAAGUGUGCUAAACUCAACAAGUGACAAGAAGAAACUAAAACCAUACAGCAAGAGGUGGUCCAACUGAUACUCAAACUUGCACCAAUAUCUAAGCACUCUCGAUUAGAGACCAAAAGAUGGAGUAUUGGAUCCAUAUUGUGACUAAAGCGGCCUUGAGGGCUCUCAAAUGCACCCACGUGUAGGAAAGGAAAUCUUAAUAAAAAUAUCUAAGGCUUAACCUACAAGGUCAAGGCGGCUCUAAAAAGAAAAAUUGAGUGGACUUUAAAGGAUCCCUAGCAAAAACGAUCACACCCUCCGACGGUACGCAACCUCCUACACGGCUUCAAAGAUACGGGAGUGAUUCCAUGCAAGGUGGUCAUCACCUCCACACAUGCACUAUCUCAUAUCCUAGAGGGUUUUCUAAUGAUGAAGGCUCUUACAUCUCUCAACAUUUAGUGGUAAUCUAAGGUGCAUAGUGAAUAGUAUGGGUUCAUCCGAAAAUCCUAUCAAACUAAGUAGAGAGAAAACACACUGGUCACACAAAUAUCUUGAAAUCUAGCUCUAGGCUAUACAAGUCUUCAAAGAUUGGAUUCCAAUUAGCAUUAAUGUGUCGGCCUUCUCCAGAAUGCUCCUAAACAUAGAUAUAGCCCAUCACUAAACCCUACUCUGAAUCACUAGCUUGGUCGAAAAGCAAACAAAGUAACAAGUCUCAUAUCAAAUACGAGAUCAAGGGGAACACGAUCACCCGAGACUAAGGAAUUAGAGGUAAGGGGAUAGAUGUGUAUCCCACAUAGACAAGCAACACAUGCAUCACACAGAAGAAGAAUAGUCAUGCAAUAGACAACUAAGCAAAGAACAGGUAUAUCAUUCAUAUCUACACACAAGCUAAACAAGAAAUAGGUAUAUAAUAAGAAUAAACAAUAUCUUGAGAUAAACAAGAUAAUAUACAAUAAAGAGAAUCAAUCACACCAAUAUAAAUGAGAUAUACAAAAAUGAGAAUAUGCAUGUGUGGACCCUCACCCGAUCCACCAACCGGUGCAAUUUGCUAUUCAAAAGGUGAAAGGGAAAACUGGUUUUCGAGUUUUGAAAAAUUUGUCCCAGUGAGGAACGGUUUUGUUUGGAGUCACCACUUACUUUUUAUUUUUAUUUUCAAAUUGGGAAAAUUUAAGUAAGAAUAAAAACCUCAGUAUGACUCCAGUUAGGAAAAAGCGGUCUGCGAAAACUAGAUUCUAGGUCCGGGGAUCAGGUUACCUAUCGGGAAGGUACCUCAUGCUAGGUAGCACCCCUCUAGGCCCGAAACUUGGUCUUUACUAAUGAACUGGGUAUAUGGGAGCAUAUGGGUCAAAGAUCAAACAAACCUUGGGCUAAACAAAUGAUAUGAAUCACAUAGACUCACCUAGUAUUUAGCAUGCACAUACACUCAACAAGUCAAAAUCAGAGUGCAUACCUGAGGUCCCCAGCCAAACAUUGUAUAAGAAGUCAGUCAAUAAGCUCAAACACACAACAAAUAUACAUAGCAAUCAUGCACCAAGCAUUCAUGUGAAUUUCAUUAUCCAAAGCCGAAGUGUAUACUUGUGGUCCCUAGCCAUGCAUUGCAAGGAAAAUGUGAGGCAAGUAAUACAAGCAUACAACAUACACUCUCAAUCAAGCAUCAAAUCUCAUACCCAAAAGAGAGGGAAACGGGUUGAAAUGAAAUAAAUGGUUUGCUUUCUUUUGCACACAUUCCUCUAAAUUCCAUCAAACCAAACCAUGCUCGCUUAACCCAUAUUCUUCUCAUCCAUGAAAUGAGCUCACAUAAAAUCUAACCAAACCGAACUCUGACCCUAAAGGUGGCCCACAAGUGCCUUGGAGCCUAAGGGCUCAAGCCACAACAAAAAUGGGGAUCAAAACAUGUUAAAAUUGGGGUUGUCUAGUAGAACUUGUUGAACUGGUUCCCAAUUGGUACAACUGAUUGAGAAAAAUUUUGAAACUUUACCAGCAUAUUCAUCGAAGAAUAAGGAAUGCAACAAAAAAAAUGGCACUCAAUUCCGAGCCCGGAUGAGGGAGAACCGGCCGAAACAAUGCAAUGUGUUUAUAAAAUGGGGCUACCUAACAUAACUUGUUGAACUGGUUCCCAACUGAUUCAAACUAUUGAGAAAAAUUCUAAAACUUUACCAUAAGAUUCCUAGAAAAAUAAGGAAUCCAAAAAAAAAUGGCACUCGAUUCCGAGUCUGGAUGAGGGAGAAUCGGUCGAAACAAUGCAACGUGUUCCUUAUAGAAGGCCAAACCCGAGCCACCCAACCUUUCUAUAAAAACCGGAAAAACUUCAAAACAGAGUAUUCCCCCUCAUUCUCUGAAAAGACUCCAAGAAGUUCUCACCAAUCAAGAGCUCCUUGCUCCCUUCUCUCUUUCCAUUCUAGCUUUUUAUACCAGAACCUCUGCUCCUAUGUAUCCUGACGAGGGGAGGGGGCCACAAAAGAGAGGCGCCGCCCAUGCCAUGGUGGCAAAAGAAGCCAUCCCUUUCGGCCCCAAAACCUUCUAGAACUGGACAUGCUAAUAUCUUAUAUCCAAGCCUUUGUCAUUCUCCAAUACAGGCAAACACAUAGACAAGGACUCUAACACCAUAAAAAAAUGAGUAGAAAGCAUAGAUAAAAACAUUAAAGAAAAAAAUCCCAGGGAAUGGUGAGCAAAAGAUGAACAUAAAUAACCUCAGUUCAGGGGUAGAUUCAUAGGCAAAAAUAGGGAAACGAUUCAAAAUAGAUUUUUAGCAUGAACAAAAUCAAAUGGGAUCAAUGGCAUCAAUUGAAUGAAGAACGUAGCUAACAGACAAAAAACCAAUUUCAACAUAACAAUUUGUGGCCUUUUUCGUCCACACCAAUCAAUAAAACAUUAAAUAUUUUGAAACAACCAGAAGAAGGAAUUGAAUAUAAGCAAGAAUACUGAGAGUAAUUAGAAUCGUACCUUGAAAGGACCAGCCUUUGAGAGGUGUUCCUCAGCUUCAAGUGAGAUUGAUUCUCCUUCUACAAAAUCCACUCAAGACCAGUGAUCACGAUUUCUUUUCCUUCUUUUCAAAGCCAACAAAAAUUCUUUUUUUUUUCUCAAGAUUUUUCCCUUUUCUCGUUCUUUCUGUUUUUCUUUAAAAACUUUUCCCAUUUCUCCCUCUCAGACCUCCGUUUUUCUUUUUCUCUAGGUGCCAAACUCUUAGAGACCCCUAGACUCUUCCCCCACUCUUUCAGUUUCCCCUCCUGCAGAGUCUCUCUCCCAGAAUCUCUAAAAAAAACCCUCUUUUUCCUCUCUAAACAUCUCAUCUUUUUUCUUCUUUUUCAAACUUCUCUUCCCAACUCUCUUUGUUCUCUGUUUUCUUUCUCUCUAGGUGCCAAACCCUCAGAGACCCCUAGAAUUUUCCUCCCACGCUUUCAAUUCUCCUCCUACAGAAUCUCUCUACCCAGAUUUCUCAAAAAGUCACUUUUUCCAAACGUCCCUCUUUUCCUCAAAACCUUUCAAACUUCCAUCCUUAGCAUCCGCACCACCCCAUUUUCUUUUCCCUUCAACUUUAGAAAUCCUCACCUUCAACCUUGGAACCCCAACUCAUUUAGCUCUCAUCUUCUCGAGGUGAGCAGCUGCCCCUCAUUACUUCAUAAUUCCUUGCCCGCCAAGAAUCCACAUGGAUUCAAGGUGGGUUGUAAUCAACCCGAAAAAUGGCCUAAAUUGGACAUAAAACCAUCCUCCUAACCCAUCUGGAGCACCAAGGCUCGAACCAGCCUAAACAAGGGCACCAAAAAUGCCAAAAACAGAGUCGUUCGCAAGCAGCCUCGACGAACCAAUUGACCGCCUAAAAAAAACCUUGACGAACCGGUUGACCAUCCAAUCGAACAGUUGAGAAAAAUUAUCAAAAUUUGAACAAUAUUCCUUGAAAAAUAAGGAAUCGAACAAAAAAAUGGUGCGCGAUUUUGAGUUCGAAUGAGAGAGAUAUGAUUGAAACAAACCCAAGUGCUCCGUAUUCGAACAUGCUCAUAUGAACUCCAACUGAGUUGAAGUUUUGGGGAGACCUCACUUCCUUUCUUUAGCACGAUGUGAAGAAUUAGGGAAUUGACCAUGAUGGCACUCCAAAAUGAACUACACACUCGCACUACAUUGGAUCGCAGAUGAACUUACACAAGGCUCAAAAACCGAUCAAACCCAAAAGAGGGACCAUAGUGGUGCCAUACGGAAAAAAUUGGGUGCAUGUGACACUCCUAAGAUAAAUGCAAGUGUCGAUGGACAAAAUUGAGGGUCUACAACAUGUUAAGGAGAGCAAGAUAAUCAUACAACAAAAAGAGUCUUAUAUUAAAGCAAGCAAGAGAAUCAAUCGAUGUAGUUAACAUGUCAAUAUCGCAAAUGAACAUAACAACCAAAUAUGCAUCAUAAAGAAAAAAGGGCAAUCAUGCAACACACAGUCAUACAAAACAAAUACAGACAAACAUAAGCAAAUAAAUGUAAACACACAUGAUAACAAAAAUCAAUGUAUAGUAAGACACAUGCAAUAUAUACAUAAAAUAAUCAUCAAGUCAACACUCAUAUACCUUAAAACAUGAAAAUAUACAAUAAAGACACAACAAGAGAGUAUUCACUGAUCAAUUAAUCAAACGCUACCUUUUCCUUAACUUGAGUUCAAGUUUGAUCCUCUAAAUAUCCCUAGUGGAGUCGUCAUUUUGUGGACCCGCAUUUUUCACAUGCAUCCUUACAUAACAGCGAGACUCAUUUUUUUAUUUGGUGAAAAUUUGAUUUUUAGAAAAAAAAAAAAAACUUUAAGUCGUCACUUAUUUUUAUUUUUUUAAGGGAAAACAAAAUAAGAAAGAAAACCUUGUGUGACUCCUUAUUUGGAAAAGACAUGUAUGCAAAAACCAAAUUUGGAUUUGAGGGUCAAGUUACCUAUUAGGAGUGUACGAUGGUGAGCUGUAGCACCCCUCUAAUCUCGUAUAUGUACGGUCUCAACUAAACGAAUUAAGAGAAUUGUGGUAAUUAAUUAAUUAGUCAUGACUACCAAGAAAAAGAAUCGCACAAAUGAGUAUGUACAAAUCAUGAUAAAAAAAAAUCAAAUUAUAAGAAUAGACAAAAUAAAUAACAAGAGAACUGUGCAAAGUGAUUUAUUGAACUAAAUAAAAAAGAAGAUAUUAAAAAAAAUAGUUUUCAAUAAAUUUCAAAGGAUUUUAUUAAAAUGACUUUGAAUUAAUGAUUUUAAUUUAUUUAUUUACAAAAAAAAUGUCAAUUUAUUUUCUUCAAGUGAUUUGGUUCAAUUUCAUUUAUAUUCAAUUUUUUAAAAAAAAUAAUUAUUUACACUCAUGGUUGUUAAAAGAAUUAUUAACAAAAUUUCAAGUUGACAAUAAAAAUGAUUUUUACUUGCUUUUACUCGAAAACAAUGAAUUUUUACAAUUUUAUUAACAAAAGAAUUUCAAUUUAAGAAAAGUGAUUUAUACAAAUGAUUAAAAAAAUUUAACUUUAUUUGCAAAAGAAUUUUUUAAUUAAAAAGAAAAAAUUUAAAUCCUCUAUUUCUAAAAAUGACUUUUAAUCCCAUUUUAAUUAAGGAAAAAAAAAGUUAUUUAAAAAACAUUUUUUGGACAAUUUGAUUAAAAAUUAAUUUUUGGGACAACUUUAUUUACAAAACAAUUUUUGGACAAUUAUUAUUAAAAACAAAAUUUCAAAUUCUAUUAAAAAUAAUUUUUUUGGAUUUUUCUAAACACAUUUUUAUGAAUUUUUAUUAAUAAAAAACCUUCUUUUAUUAAAAUGAAUAUUUUUUGAGCUAUUAUUUUAUUAAAACAUGUUUAUUGAAUUAUUAUUCUUAUUCAAACAAAAUUUUUGAUUUGUUCGAUAUCCAAUUCUGUACACAACAAGUAAAUAUAUACAAACAAAUAUUUUUAGAAACCAAUAAAAAUAAAACCAAAUAGAAGUGAGAAAUAAAACAUGUACUUAAACAAACUUACAACAAGCUCAAUGUCUUCCUACGACUUUUCAAGUCUCACUUUCUUUCAUUAAAUUUUAUGCUCCACGUACCAUAAAUCUGUACUCAACCAACAAAAUUGCAUAAUGGGCCCAUGCAAAAACAAAAAUAACCCAAAUGUAAAUAUCAUAAAAUGUAUAAAGUUCACAAUAGAUAUUCAAGCCCAAAUUCAAAUUUCAAAUUAGUCCAACAAAUUUUGUCAAUCAAAAUGGGUCCAAAUUAGUAAAUAUAACUCAACAAAAAUAUCUCACAUGUCAUAGGCCCUAAUAUAAAAUUUUCAAAUUAAUAACUAAAAUAUAAGUUCAAUUAAUCAAACCCAAAACAUGAUACAUUAAAAUAAAUCUCAUUAGGCAUAAACUUAAUAUCCCAUAAUUCAAGCCUAAUUUAAUAUAUAAACCUAAAUCCACAAUCAAAAUCAACUCACUUUAUGCUAAUCCCAAUUUACAAUCAAAAUCAAACACAAUUUAAUAAGUAAAUAACUAAAUAAAUUAAGCAAACUCAAAACUCCCAAACCACUAUUGCAUAAAUCAAACAAUAAUAAAUAUAAUGAAAACAAUAAUAAUAAUAAAAAUAAAAUAAAAUAAAAAUAAAAAUUUUAACUCAUGUUGGAGCCAAUUUGAGUGUUGUGGGAAAGAAAGAAAAUGAGAGACCAGUGGGAGAUGAUUGUUAGCUAGUAGUGGCUUGUCGGCGGCAAUUGGUCGAUAGUCCUACCGGCGAUAGUGAGGAUUGAUGAGUUUUUGGGAAAGAAAAAAAAAAGAGGAGUAAUAAAAAAAAUGGAGAAACGAGAGGAAUGUGGGAUAAGAGGGGAGAGAGAGAAUGAAGAAAAUAGGGGAAAAGAAAUGAGGUCGGCUGGAGGAGGAAGUGGCGGUGUGUGUGAGCUAAAGUGAAGAAGAAUGAAAGAAGAAGAAGGAGAAAAAUGGGGAAGAAGGGGAAAAAAAUACGGGCCCUAAAUGAAGAGAGGUGAGUAACCUAAAGAAGAAGAAAAAAUAAAAUAAAAUAAGAAAAAUGAGGAGAAAAUGAGAGGGCCAAUAGUUUUGGAAAUGGGGUGGUAUGGGUGAGAGAGAGUGGGUGGGGUUGUUAGGGAAGGUAUGGAAGAGAGAGGAGAGAGAAAAGAAAGAGAAAAAAAUAUAAUAAUAAUAAUAAUCAUAAAUAAUAUAUAAAAUAAUAAAAAUUAAUAAUUAAAUGAUGAGUGGAUAAAAAAUAUUAUAUGUAAUUGGGAUUUAAUUUUAAGAGUAAAAUUGUACUAAAAAUUAAUAUAAAAAUAAAAUUGGAACAAAUUUUAAAAUCUAUAAAUACAUUCUUUAAUCUUUCCACAACAUCAAUCUGAUCUAAAUGAAAUGCAAUAAAUUCUAAAAAUGAUACAAUCUUUAAUCAAUCCACAACAUCAACCCAAUCGAAACUCAAUGCAAUAUUGCUUAAUGGAGAGAAUAGUAAAAUCCUUUAAUGAGAGGAAAACAAAACCCUUAACAGACCUUUAUGAGAGGAAAAUAGGAAAACAUAGAACUAAAAACCCUUAACGUCUUCAUGAGAAUAAAAAAUCCUUAACACCUUAACAAGAGGAAAACAAAGAAUUUGAACAAUCCUUAAUCCAUCAAAAGCUCUUAAUGUGAACAAGGGAAAACAUAACCUUUAUUUUUCAGAGCGUCUAUAUAGGUGAAUAAAAAAUCUAAAGAGAUAGAAUUUUUAGCUAUUAAGGAUUUUUUAUAGAUGUCUAUUGAAAGUUUAAGAACUUUUAUGGAUAAGUGUUAAUUAAGAGACUGAAAGGGUACUUAGGAUUUUCAACUAAAAAAGUUAUAACAAUAUGAAUGGUAAGAACUUAAAAACAUCACCCAUCCAUCAUAGGAAUAUGGAAUGAGAGGUUUUUUUUUUACUUAUACAAUAAUAAAUUUUUUUGGAAGAGGUUUUUCUAAGUACAAAAAGUUAUGAAUAAAAAACCAUUGUUACGAUGAGUUAACUAAAAUAGAAUUAAUUUAUAAAAUAUCAAUAAAGUUGCAUGAAUUAUUAAUUUAAAAUAAUAUGGAAAUCAGUUUUAUAUUUAUUUAUUUAAAAAUAUUUUAAAAUACAUAUAUUUUUUCAUGACUCAAAUAGUCAUUCCUCAAAUGCUAAUUUUACUUGUUAUGUUAAUAACACUAGUUAAUAAUUUUUUAUUGUGAAAAUCGAUUUGAGAUUAAUAAAAUAAGAAAUUUUUAAAACUAAAAAGACAAUUUAAACUUAAAAAAAACUUUUAAAUUAAAAAUAUAAAAAUAAAACAAUAAUUUUUCAUUUAGUAAAACUUGUCAGUAAAAAAUAUAAAUAUAAAGAAAAAGUUGGAAAUACAAUAAGAGUUAAUAUUUUAUUUUUAAAAUUUUAUGUUUUUUUAUUUUAAUUGUAUUUAAUUUUUAUUUAUUUUAGUUGUAAUUUUAUUUUUAAUUUUUUAAUUUUUUAAUUUUAUUGUUGAUGUAAACUAAUAAAAUUUUUGUUCAAUUAUAUAUAUAUAUAUAUAUUUUAAAUUAGUGAGUAAAACCCACUUUUUCUAAUUUAUAAUAUAUUUAUGGGAUUUUAUAAAGAAAAAUCAACAUUUCAAUUUCCCUUCAUUAUUAUUAUUAUUAUCCAAUUUGGUUGAUUAUGAGAUUAGUUGGUAUCAUUACUAUAUCCAUUUGUCCUUAACCCUUCAUUAGAAUAGUAUUAGGAGUUGAACGUCAGUUGGAAUACAGGCUUAUGGAAACAAAUCUAUCCGAUUAGUAGGUUCUUAUUAUUUUCAAUAUAGACCCCAUAAAAUAAAUAGGAGAUGGGCAGCCCGUCCCUUUUGUCUGGAGGCUUAUGGAAACAAAGUAUCUUUGGCAGGAUACUUUGCAGAACAACUUUAGGAGACCCCUAUCUCAAAUUCAAGACUAUAAAUUAAAGCCUAAAAUCGAAACGGAAGUCGUAUAAUACAAAUAAAAGAAUAAAAGGGAGUGAAGUAAAAUUUAGUAUGGAAUGCAUGACAAGUUCCACCUGGAAGUGGCUUAUAGAGAAAAGGAAACGGAAAAAACAAAAGAACUGGAAUUGCAUAAAUCACAAUAAAUGGAUUCUUAUGCAGUGAGAGCAGCGUGUUUUCUCAUUCUCCUUGCUAUUGUUUUCUUCUCUUUACUCCAACCUCUACCAGUUUUUUUCUCAUUUUUGAACCCCUUUAAAAACCAGUUUAUUUUUUUAUUUUUUUAUCUUCGCUCUGUUUUUUCCUUUUCCAGAAAAAAAAAACGGCAAACCUCACUCGCCCAGCUGCCCUAAGAACCCACACUCCAUAUUUUUUUUUUUUCAAAAAAAAUCUUUCUCCUGCUCGGUUUUUCUUCCUUUUCUAUUUUUGUUCUCCCCCGAAUCUGUCGCCACCCACUCUCUGUUUCUCUUGUUUAGUUCCAAAAAUCCUCGCUCUCACCCCCCGUUAGCUAGUUUUUCUCUAUCUACCUUCAUCUUCGGUCCCCAGCUCUCUCUUAUUUUCCCGUUUUUCUAGCUCUCUCUUUUACCCAACCUUUCCCUCCCCCUCUAGAACAAAUUUUCUCCUCAAAUCUUCACCCGUGAGCCACCCUCUUCCUCCCUCGCUUGCUCUGUUUUUCUCUCUCCGGUCUUAUCCCCUUUCCCGUUUGUCCCCUAACUCCUCAUUUUUUUCCUCCUAAAAAAAAUGAAGACCCCCUACCAACCUUCACCUGCCCUCUGUUUAUCCCCUCUUGCAAGUCUUCCCUUGUUCCAACCAUCAGCCAGUCUCCAUCCUCAAGCACCACCAUGGCAAGGUGGUGGUGUCCAUGGCCACAUGUCCAAGCAUGCUCGGCUCCUCUAGAAACCAGCCACCCACUCUUCCAAAAAUGCUGCCAGCUCUCCCGGGAUUGUGACACCUAGAAAAAGAACUGCAUGGAAGAAGAGCCCCAAAUGGGGGUCUAGAAAUAUGCCCCUCUUCAGAAGAGCUCACGAAUGUAAGGAAUAUGAACACUGAAGUGAAAAGAAAGUGUGAAUAGUGAGUGGAAUGAAGUGAACACUAUCGAAGAACAAAGGAGACCCCCAAAGGACACUAGUGAAACCCGAACUCACUCAGGCCAAGAGGUGAACACAAACAAGGCUCUAAAAUCCUAAAAGAAAACAAUGUGUCAAAAUGUCUCUAAAGCCACACUGAGGACUCAGGCCCCCUCUAAGACGUCUCCAAAAGUGACUCGAAAGACCGUAUCAAAGAUGAGUAACGGUAGAACCACACUGAAGUACAAGAAAUAAUGUGUCCAAAGGAGACUCCCUUUGUGAACUACAUGAGAAUACUAGGUGUAGGGUGCCCAACAACAUGACUGAAAUAUGCAUCGUGAACCCAAGGGCCAUGUCAUGUGCAGUGGAAAAGGAAUCUAGAAGAACAAUGAUGAAUAGGCGAUAAGCAUAGGGUAAUGAGUUGAGGAAAAUGAGAACAAGUGCAAAACCACGAAGGUUAAUGUGCAAUGCCAAUGGAUAUGAAUACUAAGAACUGUGACUUUGAAUGGUACAACUGAGGAAAAAUGACUCUGAACAUAAAAAACACGGAAAGAUGGUGACUCAAGGUGCCUAGAUGGAUAUGUAUGAUGGCUCUGAACGCCAUAACUAAAGAAAGAUGGUGACUCAAAAUCGAACAAGACUCAACUAUGCAAGCGUAACUCGGAGGCGAACAAGACUCAACUUACUCUGACAAAACAAUGAUCGAUCGAUAUAGGUGCGGUUCUGACUCAAAUUGAACACAAACGGAUAGGAAUAUGGCUGAUCGAUACGGGUACAGCCUCAAAACGCAAACUGACACGAUGAUGACCGAUCAAUAUAGGUGGGUCCCAACCUAAACUGAACACAAAAUAAUAGGAAGAUGGCCGAUCGAUAUAGGUGCGGCCCUGAAAACUCAAACUAAACUCUAACUGAUAGGAUGAAUGAUCGAUCGAUAUGGGUGCGACCCCAAAACACAAACUGACCGAUCGAUAUAGGUGCGGUCACGACUCAAAUUGAAUAUAAGAUGAUAGGAAGAUGAUCGAUCGAUAUGGGUACGGCCUCGAAAACUCAAACUGACAUGGAAAAUGAACGAUUGAUAUUAGGUGCGGUCCCGAAAACUCAAAUUGACAUGGAAAUGAUAGGAAGAUGGUCAAUCGAUAUAGGUGCGACCCCGACUCAAACUUAAACAGACAAGAUGAUGACUGAUCGAUAUAGGUGUGGUCCCGACUCAAACUGAACACAAUGAUAAGAAGAUGGCUGAUCGAUAUGGGUGCGGCCCCGAAAACUCAAAUUGAAACGAAAAAAUGACCGAUCGAUGUAGGUGUUGUCCCAAAAACUCAAACUGACACGAUAAUGACCGAUCGAUAUAGGUGCAGUCCUAACUCGAAUUGAACACAAAAUGAUAGGAAUAUGCCCGAUCGAUAUGGGUGCGGCCCCAAAACGCAAACUCAAAUUGACAAGAUGAUGACCGAUCGAUAUAGGUGCAGUCCCGAAAACUCAAACUGAGAUGGAAAUGAUAGGAAUAUGGUCGAUCAAUAUGGGUGUGACCCUAAAACGCAAACUCAAAUUGACAAGAUGAUGACCGAUCGAUAUAGGUGCAGUCCCAAAAACUCAAACUGAGAUGGAAAUGAUAGGAAUAUGGUCGAUCAAUAUGGGUGUGACCCUAAAACGCAAACUCAAAUUGACAAGAUGAUGACCGAUCGAUAUAGGUGCAGUCCCGAAAACUCAAACUGAUAGGACGAUGACCGAUCGAUAUAGGUGCGGUCUUAACUCAAACUGAUAUGAAAGAUAAUCAAUUGAUAUAGGUGUGGUCCUAAAUCAAACUGACAGAAAAAUGGUCGAUCGAUAUAGGUGCGACCCUAAAAUGCAAACUGACAAGACGAUGACCAAUCGAUAUAGGUGCGGUCCCGAAAACUCAAAAUGAACUCAAACUAACACAGAAAGUGAUUGGAACAUGGCCAAUCGAUAUGGGUGUGGCCCCAACUCAAACUAACACGAAAAAUGAUAGAAACAUGGCCGAUCGAUAUAGGUGCGGCCCCAACUCAAACUAACAUGAAAAGUGAUAGGAACAUGGUCGAUCGAUAUAGGUGCGGCCCCAACUCUAACUGAAACUGAUAAGAUGAUGAAUGACUGAUCGAUAUAGGUGCGGUCAUAACUCGAAAACUCAAACUCAAACUAAUAGGAAGAUGGUCGAUCGAUAUAAGUGCGACCCCAACUCAAACUGACAUGACGAAUGACCAAUUGAUAUAGGUGCGGUCCCGAAAAAAUUAAACUGACACAGAAAUGAUAGGAAGAUGACUGGUCAAUAUAGGUGCGACCUAAACUCAAACUGAUAUUAACGAGAUGAAAGAAUGACCUGAUCAAGUGGCCCAAAGCCAAAGGAUAACUCAGAUAAUGAUGCAAGCAAACUCGACCAAAAGGGAUAUGCCCUAGUAUGACAACUCAUGAGGAUCGACAACUAGGUUGAAGGAUACCAAAGCCUAGGAAAGGUUUGAUGAUCCUAAGGAAUGAGGGUAUGCCCUAGUAUGCGACUCGCGAGAGUCAACGACUAAAUAAAAAAGUGCAUGAAGUCUAUGGAAGGUCCGAUGAUCCCAAGGAUGUAGGGUAUGUCCCAGUAUGAUAACUCGGAGGGGUCAACAACUAGAUCGAAAAAUGAAUGAAACCUAUGGAAGGUUCGAUGCUUUCGAAGAAGGAGGGUAUGCCCUAGUAUGACAACCCGGAGGAGUCAACAAUUAGAUCGAAAAGGUGAAUGAAACCUGUGGAAGACCCGAUGCUCUCAGAGAAUGGGGUAUGCUCCAGUAUGUGAUGAUGAACAAACAGAGAUGCAAAAUGCCUCUAAACCACUGUACUAUAAAAUAUGCUCAUCCAUCAUGUAAUGAAAAUGUCCAAUCUCAGAUAGGUAAUGCUAAACAGGACCAUGUAUCGUGACACCAUGCUGACAAAACAAAACUAACUAGUGAAUAACAACAAUAAUGAUUAGUACUCAAAAUGCAAAGAGAAAACAAAUCAACACUCAACAUGCCAACUAUCAAAAUGAAAGCAUCAUCACUAAUAAAUCAAUAAUCUAUCAAGCCCUACCAACAUGGAAGAUGUUGAACCUAAAGUACAAAAGAUGUAUGAAAGCACAACCAAAGUGAUCGAGGAUUGAUCCACGUCUCCUCCUAAUUGAGAGAUGGGUGUGAGGUCAUGUGUCAUGGUGAGAUGUGUAGGAUAAAAGAAGGUGAUGAUCAGGCUCUGGUAAGAUAGAAAGCAUGAAAGUAUCAAAGGUGGAAUGUCUGAGUACAAGCUGAAAGGUAUGUAGGUAACCGAGAUUAUCCAAGUAUGUCGAGAAGACUAAACCCAAGGUAUCAAUAGCUCCAUAAUCCAUCAAAAACAGCAAUCACAAAAUAGAAAGUCAAGUCUCGAUAUCAAAACAUCCGACUAGGUGACUAUGCCCCAGUAUGCAAUGAAGACAACAUGAAAUAAUCCAAUGAUCUCUAUAUCACUCGGUAGAUGCUCCAAUAUAAAGGAUCAAUCUGAUCUCCCUCCAAAAGAUGGAUAUGCCCUAGUGUAAAGGAUCUGAUAGGAUGACUAUGCUCCAAUGAAACAUGCUCUCCAUUCUGGCUAUGCCCUAGUGUAAAGUAGUGUAUUCGAGUAAAAAAAUCAAUCAAUUUCUACUCCUGGUGUUAAAAAUGGAAACAUCUCAACAUAAUCCAUAUGAAUUAGAAUCCCCGAGCUCUAUGAGUAUGAAUGAACUAGCUAUGCCCCAGUAUAAACCAUUUGAAGUGACUAUGCUCCAAGAUAAAUCAAAGUCCAUCACCGAUGAGAGGGCUAUGCCUCAAAAUAAAUUGCCAUCUCAAAAAUCAACCAUCAAUGAGUAGAAUAUGUCCUAAUGCAGAGUAUCGAGUAAAGUGACUGUAUCUCUAAUAAAAGCGUUCUCUGAAAUGGCUAUGCCCUAGUGUAAGGUCAUCCCACAAUUCCUAAUCCAUCAUAAUCCAAGUGAAGAAGCGAACUGACUAUGCCUCAGUGCAAGGCAUCAUCUUGAAAAAAAACGUCAUCAAUGAGCGGGGUAUGCCCCAGUAUAGAUCAUAUCAUCUCCGAAAAUCCAUCACUGAUAAAAAUGGUAUGCACCAAUGUAAAUCCAUCGCCUCAACUCCCCAUCCAUCAUGCUCCGAGAAAUAAUCUCCAACCAAGUUCGAGUACAUCAUGUGUGAAGCGAUAAAGGACUACAAACGACUAGACUCUUAGCAUGAACUAUAAACAACGAAUCUGAACCAAACUGGACUCAACAAAGCAACUCUAAUGAACUAAAGACUGGACCCGAUAGAACGGGAACGGCUCAGAUGACGACCAUAAAUCAAAAUGAAAGGUGCUCUGAGCUAAACCACUGAAAAAUGAUGUACCCAUGUCAACUAAACCAAGUCCUCAACUCGGAAUAUCCCAAAAUACCAUAUGACCAUCAAUAUCAUCAACAUCUAGAUCAAUCUACUGAAGGCUAGGAGGAGGGGGAACUGCAUGUGUAGAAUACGUAGGUAAGGGAUUGGUGGUCACACUUGGCCCAGACAAGUUGACCAACCCUGAAUCAAUCAAGUCUUAUUUCACAUGAUGGAACGCCGAACAACACUCAGUAUCGUGUCCCUAAAUCUGAUGAUAUAAGCAAUGCUCAUGUGAGCGGAAAUGAGGAGGAAUGGGAUAUGGCAAGGAGCGUGGCACCAAAUGAACAAUCAAACCAGCAUCUCUAAGCUUCUCAAAAGCUCUAGUCAAAGUCAUGCCCAAUGGAGUGAACUGUCUCGCGGGUCUCUGUGCAAAUGGUUUAGGUGGUGGGUGAGUAGCGACUCUUAGAUGUGAUGGUCAUGAUUGUAGGCUAGUUUGAGAAAUGUAAGGCUAUUGAACAUAAACCGGCUGAUACUGAUACUGUGGAUGAGAGAAAUGAGCUCUGACUGUAGGAGGCCUGUAAGGUGAGUGAAGUGCAGGCCUCUGAUGCUGAUAGCUAAUAGUGUCAACCUCUCCAGACCUACUAGAUGAUCCAACUAGCUUCUUCCUCUUAUUGUUAGGGGAAGGAGUAGCAUCUGUCCAUAAUCCUCGAGCAAUGACCUCCUUAACACUAAAAGCUACAUGAACUAGACUCUUAAGAUCCUGAAAUGGGAUGCCCACAAGGUGUCUAGUGAACCUCGGUUGUAGGUUCUGAAGAACCAUAUCAAUCUGAUCCUGCUCCUUAAGCCGGUCUAUCAUACCAGCCACCUUUGCCCUCCAACGUUUGACAAAGGAAGAAAUAGACUCAUCUGGCCUCUUCAUGGUGGCCUCCAACUCUUGUCUGGAUACAUCAAUGUCGACACUAAAAGCAAACUGAGUCAAGAACUCAUGAGCCACAUCUUCCCAGGUGCGAAGUCUCAAAGGCUCAACUGAAGCAAACCACCUCUGAGCUGCCCCACUAAGUGACAUGGGGAAAAGGGCCACCAACUGUGCUUCAUCUAUCCCAUGUGCUCUCAUGACUGUGCUCUAUAGUCUCAAGUGGAUCUUAGGACAACCAAUCCCACUAUACCACUCAAUGUCUGGCAUGCGAAACUUGGUGGGCAAGCUAGCCGCCGGUAUGUCAUCCCUAUCAUCCCAAGUCAAACCUCCAUCCUGUAAUCUGAUUUGUCUUAUCCUGGCCUCAAGCCUCUAAACCCUAGCCUCCUGCUCGGUCAAUCUAGUAUCAUUAGUAGUAGUAACAAUGAGAGGCAACACUGUGGCAGUAGGUGGUGGAGUACUCUCGCAAUGAUCUGAUAAAUGGAAUGGAAUGCCAUGUGAAAUCCUAGGUGGAAAAACCUGUGCUGUCUGAGGUACAUGAGGAACUGUAUCGUCAGUGCUAAUGCCAACUGGAUGAUGAUCCUAGCGAGAACUCUCUAUCUGAUCCAAACGUCUACUAACCCUUGCCAUGAACUCCUGAAUAGAAGCAAGUGUGGAAGCUAGCUCGUCUGACAUCUCGAUCGAACUGUCUGAACUCUGAUGUGAAUCUGCUCUAAUCAAUCAACCUCCAACUCUCUUUCAAGGAUGUAACUCCAGACUUAAACAACUCCUAAAAUGGCUCCCUACAAUGCAAACGAAAUGGAUGAAGGACACAAGAUAAGACCUUAAAAGACAACAGUACAACAUGCAAGCACAUGGUCCUGAGGUGGCAAUUUGAAAUCUAGAUUUAUGAUGAGAACUCUGGAGUCAUAAAGGUGUCCACUGUGAGAUGGCUACAAAUGUGACUAGAGAAUUCCUAUCGAUAAUCCAAGAUGAAAGAGGUGUGAAUAACACACUAUCAUGAGAUCAAUACUCCAUUUAUAACCACAUAUCCUUGAUUCAACCUUCAAUCCAAGCUCCGUAAGAGAAAAAUGAUAAGGUGAUCAAGGCAACUCUCUCGAAAAAAGUGUAAAUGUGUCUUUCACCUUUCUAUAAUGACAACAUGAGCAUCGAGUUGAAAAUUGAAUCAAUGAUCAAACAAAGAAUGGGGUAUUGGGCUGAUGAUAGAUGUACGGGGUAAAAAGGUGAUCAAUGAACAUAUCCUAAAGCAUCAAGCAAGUGACAACAAAGUGAAAGGAUGCCAAGCCAAGAAAAGAAGAUGAAAACCCUAGGGAGAAAACAUGUUAAACUCAUCGAGUGAAAAACAUAAACUAAGGCGACAUGACAAAGGUGAUCCAACCGAUACUCAAACUCAUACCAAUCUCUAAGCACUCUCAACUAGAGACUAAAAAGAGGGAGUGUCGAAUUCGAAAUAUGACCACAGAGGCUCUGAAAGCCCUCAAAUGCACCCACGUGUAGGGAGGGAGUCCUAAUUGAAGGAUCUACGGCUCAACCUACAAGGUCAAGGUGGCUUUAAAUGGAUAUGGGUGGACUUUUAAAAGAUCCUUAGCAGAAGCGAUCGUACCCUCCGACGGUACGCAACCUCUUACACAUCUCUGAAGAGACGGGGCGCUUCUAUGCAAGGUGGUCAUCACCUCCACACAUGCACUACUUCGCAUCCCAGAGGGUUCCAAUGGUGAAAGCUCUCACAACUCUCAGCACUCAGUGGUAAUAUAAAGUGUAUAGUGAGUGGUGUGGGUGCAUCCGAAAACCCUAUGAAACUAAAAGAAAACACACUGGCCACAAAAAUAUCCUAAAAUCUAGCUCUGGGCUAUACAGGUCUUCAAUGAUCGGACUCUAAUCGACAUCAACGUGUCGGUCACCUCCAGAAUGCUCCCAAACAUCAGUAUAGCCCAUCGCUAGACCCUACUCCCAUCCUUUGGCUCGAUCAAAGAACAAGCACACACAAGGCCUCACACUUGAAAAAGUGAUAGCCAAGAUGAAGGAAAUGACCAAAACUAGAGGGUUGGAGAUAAGAGGAUAGAUGUGUGGCCCACACGGACAAACAACAUGCAAUCACGCAAAAAAAGGGCAGUCAUGUAACAUACAGUCGGGCAGAGUACAUGAUAUGUCACUCAUGUAUACAUACAAGCCGUGACGAUCAGAAUGAAUAGUGAUACAGACAUCAUACUCAAAGAUGAUCAAGAGACUACACAAUGCAAGUGAGUCAACAUGUCAAGUCAAAUUAUGUACAAUGGCGAGUCUAUACAUGUGAAAUGAUCAGAACGAACAUGGAAAAAAACAGGAUCACUAUGCUAAACAAUGUAAGAUAAUCGAUCAAUACAAUCAACAUAUCAAUCUCUCAAAUGAAUAUGGCAAUGAAGCAUAGAAAAAAUAGCUACCUCGAAAUCCCCAAUCAAAAUAAUCGAUCAUCAUAAUCAGCAUGUUAAGUGUCUCAAACAGAUAUAGCAACGAAACACAAAAAGAAUCACUAUAUCAGAAUCCUCAAUCAAGAUAAAUCAAUUGUCAUGACCAGCAUAUCAAUGUCCCAAAUGAAUACCAUAUCCGAGCAUGCAUCUAAUGAUAUUGGGAACUCUCAAUGUGCAAUCAAGAGAUAGGUACCCAAUGAUCGACUCAUCAAAUGCCACAUUUGCUUCAUCUUAAGUUCAAGUUUGACCCUCUAAACGUUCCCCAGUGGAGUCGCCAUUUUGUGGACCUCGUAUUUCUACUCAUCCACUUCCACUCAAUGGCGAGCUCGCUUUUUGUUGGAAAAAUGAUUUUAUUUUUAAGAAAAUGACUUGGAGUCGCCACUUAUUUUUUGUUUUAUUUUUAAAGGGUAAACAAAAUAAGAAAGAAAACCCUAAGUGUGACUCCUUAUUUGGAAAAGGUGGUCUGUGAAAAAUCGAGUCAAGGCUCGGGGGUCAGAUUACUUAUCGGGAAGGUAUGGUAAAGACCAUAACACCCUUCUGAGUCCCUAAAAACGAGUCUCUACUAAUAAAAUGAAGCAAGUAUGACAAUUGAUAAGUGAAUCAAUGGAUACCGAAUGAAUAUCGAUUAAAACAGAAUAACCGAAAGAACAAGAUGGGCAAAUAGUGUACCUGAGCGAUGAACUGAUUUGCUUCAUGGAAAACAAAGAUUAGUAAACAAACAUAGAAUACUUGCACACAUGUAUUAGAGUGGAAUAAAUCAAUCAUGUAUAACAAUCAAUCAAUCAAUCAACCAAUCAAUGAGGAAAUUCCAUAUGUUGGGCCCUCACCAAAGCCCGAUUUAUUUUAGCAUGAAUUGGUCUCACAAAUUCCAUUGUUUUAGAAUUAUGAGGAAAAAAAAAACAUUAUUGCUUAUCAAAAUCAAGAGAGAUAGAAGAUUAUUUGAAAACCAGAGUGGAAUUAAAACUGUUUGAAAGAAAAUUAGAUUUUUGAAAUUUAUUUGAAAAAUUGGAGUCUCAAAGAUUACUUGAAAAUCGGAGUUUUGAAAAUUAAAUUUAAGAAUUGGAAUUUUAGAUAUUAAAUUUAAAAGAAAUUGGAAUUUUGAGAAUUAAAUUUAGGAAAUGGAAUUUUGGAAAUUAAAUUUGAAAGAAAUCAGAAUUUUUGAAAUUAAAUUUGAAAGAAAUGAAAUUUUGGAAAUUAAAUUGAAGAAUUUGAAUUUUGGAAAUUAAAUUUGAAAGAAAUUGGAGUUUUAAAAAUUAAAUUUAGGAAAUGGAAUUUUGGAAAUUAAAUUUAAAAGAAAUCUGAUUUUGGAAAUUAAAUUUGAAAGAAAUUAGAAUUUUGGAAAUGAAAUUUGAAAGAAAUGAAAUUUUGAAAAUUAAAUUGAAGAAUUUGAAUUUUGGAAAUUAAAUUUGAAGGAAAUCGGAAUUCUAGAAAUUAAAUUUGAAAGAAAUUGGAGUUUUAAAAAUUACAUUUAGGAAAUGGAAUUUUGGAAAUUAAAUUUGAAAGAAAUGAAAUUUUGGAAAUUAAAUUGAAGAAUUUGAAUUUUGGAAAUUAAAUUUAAAGGAAAUCGGAAUUCUGGAAAUUAAAUUUGAAAGAGAUUGGAGUUUUAAAAAUUAAAUUUAGGAAAUGGAAUUUUUGAAAUUAAAUUUAAAAGAAAUUGGAUUUUAGAAAUUAAAUUUGAAAGAAAUCAUAAUUUUGGAAAUUAAUCGAGAAUUGGAGCUAUGAAAAUUAAAUUUAAGAAUUAUAGUUUUGGAAAAUUAAAGUUUUGAAAAUUAAACUUAAAAAUUUGAGGUUUUUUUUUUAAAAAAAUUUAAAUUUUAAAAAAAUGGAAUUUUGGGAAUUUAUUCGAAAAUGGAAUCCUAAAAAAAAUCUGAAUUUGAAAAUGUUAAUUUUGAAAAAUUAAUUUGAAGAUUGAAGUGAUUGAAAAUCAAGAAUUUUGAAAGUUGAUUUUUUUAUUAAAAAAAAAAUUGGUGAAAACGUGUGAGCAUAAAGGCUUAAAAAAAAAAAAAAAAACAAAACAAAAAAAAGUGUAUGGGCAUAUGUGCCCCAUGGAUGGCCCACCAAAAUUCCUCCAUUGACUUUACUACCAUGAAAUGAUUCCUAAAUAAGAAAAACCAUUAAUGACUCUGAGAGACUUCAAGAGAGAGACAGGGAGAAAAGUCUUUCUCUAACACAACUGAUGAACCAAGUCUUUAUGGGAGACUAGGCGGCGUUUGGUGGUGGUUUGGAUUCCUUUGCUGCCUUGUCAGUCUUCUUUGGUAGGAUACUUUGCAGAACAACUUUAGGAGACCCCUAUCUCAAAUUCAAGACUAUAAAUUAAAGCCUAAAAUCGAAACGGAAGUCGUAUAAUACAAAUAAAAGAAUAAAAGGGAGUGAAGUAAAAUUCAGUAUGGAAUGCAUGACAAGUUCCACCUGGAAGUGGCUUAUAGAGAAAAGGAAACGGAAAAAACAAAAGAACUGGAAUUGCAUAAAUCACGAUAAACGGAUUCUUACGCAGUGAGAGCAUCGUGUUUUCUCCUUCUUCUUGCUACUGUUUUCUUAUCUCUGCUCCAACCUCUACUAGUUUUUUUCUCAUUUUUGAACCCCUUUAAAAACCAGUUUAUUUUUUUAUUUUUUUAUCUUCGCUCUGUUUUUUCCUUUUCCAGAAAAAAAAAACGGCAAACCUCACUCCCACAGCUGCCCCAAGAACCCACUCUCCAGAUUUUUUUUUUCAAAAAAAAAUCUUUCUCCCGCUCGGUUUUUCUUCCUUUUCUAUUUUUGUUUUCCCCCGAAUCUGCCCCCACCCACUCUCUGUUUCUCCUGUUUAGCUCCAAAAAUCCUAGUUCUCACCCUCCGUAACCCAAUUUUUCUCUAUCUCCCUUCAUCUUCGGUCCCCAACUCUCUCUUAUCUUCCCGUUUUUCCAGCUCUCUCUCUUACCCAACCUUUCCCUCCUCAUCCAGAACAAAUUUUCUCCUCAAAUCUUCACCUGUGAACCACCCUCUUUCUCUCUCACUUGCUCUGUUUUUCUCUCUCCGGUCUUGGCCCCUCUCCUGUUCGCCCCCUAAAUCCUCAUUUUUUUCCUCCCAAAAAAAAUGAAGACCCCCUACCAGCCUUCACCUGCCCUCUGUUUAUCCCCUCUUGCAAGUCUUCCCCUAUUCCAACGAUCAGCCAGUCUCCAUCCUCAAGCACCACCAUGGCAAGGUGGUGGUGUCUAUGGCCACACGUCCCAGUAUGCUCGGCUCCUCCAGAAACCAGCCCCCCACUCUUCCAAAAAUGCUGCCAGUUCUCCCGGGAUUGUGACACCUAGAAAAAAAAACUACAUGGAAGAGGAGCCCCAAACGGGGGUCUACAAAUUAACUUUUUAAAAAUUCUAAACCUCUUUUGUGUUAUUAGCUUUUUUUCUCUCUCUCAUAAUUUCAUUACUUAGGCUUGUUUGGUUCGACUUCUAAAAAUGUAAAAAGAAGUAAAAAAAAUCAUUUUUAUGCCAAUAAGCUCUAUAUCAUGACUAUGAAACAAAUAUCUUAUGAAUUAUUGGAGCAAGAAAAUCAAUUCAUGAUUAAUUUUGUAAAUGAACUUUCUAAAAUGAUACCUUCAAUUGAGAAAGUGGUUGGUAAUUUAACUUAAUAACUUAAUUUAUCUUAUUAAGCACAUUAAGUAUGCUUGAUAAAAUAACUUACUACCAUAAUUUAAAGUUUUAAAUAACUUAAAUAAUUGGUUAAAAUAAUUAACUUUUUAAAAUUUUGAAACAUUUUUUGUGUUAUUAGCUCAUUUUUCUUUCUUUCUUUCUUUCUUUUUUUUUUUUCCUCAUAAUUUUGUUAUUUAGGCCUUGUUUGGUUUGACUUGUGAAAAAAAAAAUCAUUUUUAAGCUCAAUAAGAGUUUCUAUGAUUUUGACUUUUGUUUUUUUUCAAAAAUCUUAUGCCUUAAAAACGAGCUUAAUAUAGAAGUUAGGAAAGUGUUGUUUCUUGUAUAAACUCUAUUUUAAUUUAUGUAAGAAGUUUUUUCAUGUUUAAUAUACUUUGAGAAUACCAAUAUUGCUCUUUAAAAAUUAUGACUUUGGCUUCAGCUUUAGCUUUAUGAUUAGUUAAAGAAAAACACAAAAAACUCUCCGUAACAAGGUGUUAAUAUCAUUGAGGAUAAAUAUGACAAUUUAAUGGUCUAGAAAAAGUUUUGAGUUGAUUUUAUGAAACAACUUUGAUACUUAAAGUAAAAUUAAGUAGCAAGUUUUAAGUCAACAACUUAAAAGUGAUUUAAUUUAAAGUCAUUCUAGCAAUGCACUAACAAAUUGACAUGAGUCAAGAAGAGGUUGAUCGGUUUGAAGGUAUAGAUUUGGAUGUUAUCAACCUCCCUUGGGAGGAUGCAUAGAAUUUCCAACAUGUAGUCAGAAACAAAAAACUUCACCAAAAAAAAAAAAAAGUCCUAGGAAAAUAUCUUGAGGGACAUGUCUAAAUUAUCAUCUAAAUAUUCAAACAAUUUAUUAAAGCUUUAAUGUUGCAAAAGACGUUCAAAAGUCCAAAACAAGAGAAAAUUUCAAGACAUGCAUAAACCAUUUUUUUUUUAACUAAUCCAAAAAUGUGAUAAAAUCAUGAAAAAAAAAAAUCAUACAAUAGUCUCAAAAUGUCUAAUUUACAAGAAAAAUUAUGGCAAGGUAAAGUAUACAUACAAAUCAAUUUCAAAAUCAAGCAAACAACCCCUUUAUUCAAAAUUAGGUCAAUGCAAUCACUAUUGCAAGGGAAAAUGUUUAACUCAAUUGGGAAAAACAUUUUUUAAAUAUUUUAUUUGUCUAAAAUAAGCUUUAAGAAGGUUAAAAUUAAGUAAAAAUAUCAAAACAAUUUUACAAAGUCAUUUAGCAAUACAUUUCGGGUGUAACUAACCCACCAAAAUAUGAUUUGAUAUCUCCCAUUUGAAAAUUACUUUUUAACUUAGCCAAAAUUCUAAAGUCAAGUUCAAAGAGUCUACAAUACCAUAAAAUCAUAGAAUAAAUUUAGGAGCAUCCUAAGUUAGUCAUGUGUAAUGAAUCAAAUUUUAUGUAGGGGUCUCGCCAAAUCCCCAUUUAAUAUACAUGAAUCUAGCUUAUGCAUUUUCAACUUCACAUGAGUAUUGAUAAACUCAUCAAAACUAAGAAUUAUCCCAUUUAUUUAGGACUACAAACUUGGAUUCGUGUUAUACUCAAAAUCAAAAUUUUAUCGAAGAUAAAAAGGAAAAUGCAAACCGGAUGAAAUUUGAUUGCAUAUCUUUAGAAAAAGAGUUUUAGACCUUAAGAACUCUAACUAAAAUUUUGAAAUGGAUUUUAAUAUUAAUCUUUUUUUUGAGAUAAAGAUUUCUUUUUAAAAGAGAAAAUAUUUGUAAAUAACAAAACAUAAGAAUCAAACCAAGUAAACCAAAGGAGUGGAUGAACUACAAAGUUAUUUUUUUAUUUUUUAUUUUUACAAUCAACAAAGACUAAAGAUGGUGAAAGUAGAGACCAAUAUUCAUUAUUUUUCAAUGGCCUUUGAAAGUCAAAUUAAAAAAUGGAUCACCAGGCAACACAUUACGAAUUUUUAGAUCAAACAAACAAACAAGACAUCAAUAAAAAAUUAACAAAGAUCAACCAAACACAUAAACUGAGGCAAACAAUCGAGAACUAAUAUAAGAUAAACCAAAUGCAUAUACAUGUGGUCAUAAUAAUAUGAAUUUAGUAACAUAAGCACACAAAAUCCUAAAAAAACACAUGAACUAAGUAAGAUGAAUCAAGAACUAAAAUUACCUAUUUUAAAGCUUGAAUAUAAUAACAUUAGGAUAAACUAAUUAUCGGAAAUUCUAAAAGCACAAAUUAGAAUUGAAUCAAUCAAGAACUAAGAUUAAUAAACUUAAAACAUGAAUGCCAUUACAUGAGAUCAACUAAACUAAUUAAUUAAAAUUUGUAAGAACACAUAAAAUAAAUAGGAUGGAUUAGAAAAUAGAAAAAAAAAAAUACUAUUUUAAAACAUGAAUAUAAUAACGUGAGUUCAAUCAAACAAAUAAACUAGAAUUCAAAAAAUACAUGAACUACAUAGGAUCAAUCAAAACUCAAAAAAAAAAAAAAUUGACAAAACUUAAAUCAUGAAUAUAAUAACCUGAGUUCAAUUAAACUAAUAAACAAAAAUUCUAAAAACAUAAAAUAAAAUAGGAUCAAUUAAGAACUAAAAUUAACAAUUUUUAAAUAAGGAUAAAAUAGCAUGGAAUAAAUCACAUUAUCCAACUAAAAGUUUAAAAAAAAAAAACCACAUAAACUAAUAAGAUGAAUCAAGAAUUAAUAAUUAACAAUUUUGAAACAAGAAUAAAAUAUCAUGGAAUCAAUCACAUUAAUCAAAUAAAAAUGAAAAAAAACCACUUAAACUAAUAAGGUGAAUCACAAAUAAAAAUUAACAAUUUUGAAACAAGAAUAUAGCCUGGAAUUAAUCACACUAACCAAUUAAAUUUUUUUUUUAUAAAAAAAAACAUAAUCUAAUAAAAUGAAUCAAGAAUUAAAAAAAAUUAACAAUUUUAAAACAAUGAUAAAAUAGCAUGAAAUCAAUUACAUUAAUCAAAUAAAAUUCUGAAAACCACUUGAACUAAAUAGAUUUGAUUAAGAACUAAGAACUAAUUAUUUUUUUUAUUUUUUUUUAAACAAACAAUGUAUAAACUAAAGGAUCGACAUGUGAUUACAAUUUUUUUUUUUAAAAAAAAUAUCGAAACAAAAUACUCAAGAAAACUUACCUUCAAUCAUGUAAAAGAUGCUGCUGAUCAAUGGUGCGUGCUGUCCAAAAAAGGUUCAGCCUGGUGUGUUUUUCUCUCUCUCCAAUGGUGCGUGCCCCUCUUUUUUUAAAAAAAAAUCUGAUGCACAAUCCCACGUCUCAAAGUGGCAGCCUCAGUGGUGCGACUGUAGGAGAGUUUCUUUGUUCGAUAGUGUGUCAGUGCUCUUUCCUAGUGGAUGCACGAUAUGCAUGCGUCUUCGAAGAUGAGGGCAUGGCUUCUCUUAAAGAAAUCUGUGAUGAUGAAAGUAGUCCCCUUAAUGGAUGCGUCCCUAUUGGAGAGCCCCCUCUUAUAGUGUGUGUUGAGCCCCCUCCUAUAGCCCCUCCUCUCCCGUGUGUGUUGCUGAAAGAAGUCGCCUAUGGACGCACCCCACCUAAAAAUCCCGUGUGAAAUCUCCUCCCAUUUCCACAGCCUAUGCGUCAUCCCAAAAAAUCUAGUGGUAUACAGCCCGAUCUUCCACUUUUUUUUGGUAAGUCGUAGUUCCACCUUGGUCAUCAAUACUCUCUCUCUCUCUCUCUCUCUCUCUCUCUCUCUCUCUAUAUAUAUAUAUUCAUUAUUACAAUAGUAAUUUGAUAUAAAUUAUUUCAUUUAAGCCAUUUAUAAAUAAUAUAUAAGAUGACAUAAUAUACCAAUAAUUCAAUUAAGAAUAUAUGAUAUUAAUCAAUAAAUAUUAUUUAUGAUAGAUAUAUCAAGUAUAUUAUCUAAUAAUAUUUUGUUAUAUUAAUAGAUAAAUAAAAAUUUAUGAUGAUAAUUUUAGAAAUGUAGAAUACCAAUAUUUUUUAAUGUUUGAAAUUGUAGUUUCAUUUUAGUUUUUUCUUUCUUGAAAAUACGUUUAAUUAAGAAAGUAAAAAUUGUUUUUUUAAAAAAAAAUUCACAAAGUCUUGUUUGGUUUUAAACUUUCAUUAAUGUAAAAAUUUGUGAAAAAAAAUAUAAGUAAAUUAUAUAAUUUAUAUCUCAUGUUAUGAAAUAUAUUACUAUAAUGAAUAAUAUUGUUUCUUUUAUAAUAUACAUAAUGUGAUAUUAUGUAAUAGUAAUAAUCUAUAUUAUAUUGUUAUAUAUUAUCAUAUUAUAAAUUAUAACUUAUAUACCUUAAUAUUAUAUUAAGGUUAUUUUUUUACUAUAUUUUAAAUUUUAAAUCACUUUAGAAAAUUUUCUAAUAUAUUUAUAAUAAAUUAAUCAUCUAAAUUAUUUUAAUAUACAAAUAUAUUCUCUAAUAAAUAAUUUUUAUAACGUUUUCAAAUAUAUAUAUAUAUAUAUGAUAAUAUUUUAUUUAUAUUAUUUUGUACUGGAUCUCAAGUCUUUAAUUUAUAUGCUUUUAUUAUAUCAUUUGAUUUCUACCUUUUUAAAAAAACCGCUUUUUUCCCCCUUAAGUUUUCUAGAAAAUGAAAAGGAAAAAUAUCAUUCAAACAUAUUUUGAGAGAUGAUCUUUGUUUUUUUUGAAAAUGAACAAAUCUUAAGUUUUAAUAAUUAAUAUUGAUUUGGGACUCUUUAAAGACACGUUUAUAAUUAGUAAUUAUGAAAUUUUGAAUUUUGAUGGAAUAAAUUAAAUUAAAUUUUAAUUUUCUAUAAUAAAAGGUAAUUUGUUUUAAAAUUUAUUUAAAUUAAAUAAUUUUUAGAUAUUUUAGAAUUAAUUAAAAUAAUAUAUAAAAUGACAUAAAUAAUUAUUUUAUGUGAUUAUACCAUAAAUCAUUUAAAAUUUUAAAAUUAUUCAUUUAUUAAGUAGUUCAAAUUUUAAAAUCCAAUACAAUUCUAAGAACGAAUCCAAUAUUAUUUUUUAUCCUUCCACAACAUGAAUGUAAUCAAAGUGAAAUCCAAUAAAUCCUAAGAAUAAAUACAAUCCAUUCUUUAAUUCUUCCACAACCUCAAUAUGAUCUAAAUGAAAUGUAAUAAAAUAUUUCAAAGGAAAUUAAAUAUAAUUAAAAUUAGUUAAAAUUUUAUUUUUCUUCAUUUUUUUUUUCUUUUACUUUUUAUUUUUUAUUUUUUAUUUAUUUGCAUUUUCUCUUAAAUUUUUCAGAGAAGCAAACAUAGUGAAUUUUUUUUAUGGAUAAGUAUUAAUUAAGAGAUUGAAAGGAUUUUUUUUGGAUAGGAGUCGAUAGAAAAGGUUUGGGAUAAAGAAAGAGUUUCCGGCCAAGUAGUCUUUUUUUUUUUUGCUACUUCUCAACCUAAUCUCAUGUUGAAGAUAUUUGUGUGUUCGUACAACAUCAAAUUCAACUUUAUUAUUAUUAUUAUUAUUAUUUUAUUUUUUAUGUGGUUUUUUUUUAAAAAGAAAGUCAUAUGAAUGGACAUGAUGAGAAAGAUUAGAUCGAGAAAAGACCUUGCUUUGGUUUUAGUGGAAUUUUCAAAAGGAAUAUGGUUAGGGGAAUAGACUACUUUCAACUAAAAAGUUAUAACAAUGUGAAUGGUAGGAACUUAAAACAUCACCAAUAUAUCAAAGGAGUGUAGAAUGAGAGGUUUUUAUUUUUUAUUUUUAUUAUUAUUAUUAUUAUUUUUACUUCUACAAUAAUAAAUUUUUCUGCAAGAGUUUUUUUAGGUACAAAAACUUAUGACUAAAAAACCAUUAUUACGAUGAGUUAAUUAAAAUAGAAUUAAUUUAGAAAAUAUAAAUAAAAUUGCAUGAAUCAUUAUCAUGAGUUCACUUAAUAAGAAUUAAUAGUAAUAAAGUUGAAUGAAGUGAAUUUGGAAUGUAGAUAUUAUUGAUGAUAAGAUUUUUUAAUAAUAAAAAUAUUAUUAGGGUAUGAAAAAUAGGACAAAAUUGACCUUUCUUUAUGUUACUGGUUAAAUGGAUAAUAGGGAUAAUCAAGUACUUACAUGUGGUGAGGUUACCUAAGCUAAUUCUGUACUUACCAGCUAGCCCAAAAGCUAAGAAAAAUCUCCAUCCUCCAUUCACGGCGCCCUUUUCUUUUCCCUAUUUUUAGAAAAUUCAACGAGUUUUGGUAAAUCAAUCUUACAACGUCCUUUCAGUCCACCAUUAUUUUCUGAUUCCUCCUUUUCUUUUUCUCUCGUUUCUUCCUUCAAAAUCCAUCCCUCAUCUCUCUCACAAUUUUCUCUUUACCUUCUUCUCUUCCUUCCAGUUUCCUUUUUAUUUUAUUUUUCAUGCAGACAGAAUCCCCUUACUUUCCUUUGUUUCUCUCUUUAAAAAAUUCUGAUUUUGCCCUAAAAAAAAUUGAUUUUUCUCUUUAAAUAUUUUAAUUUUCCUCCUCCAAAUUCUGAUUUGCCUUUCUAAAAUUUCAGAUCUUCCCAACCCAAAUUAAAUUCCGAUUUCCCCCGGUAAAAUUCUGGAUUUUCUUUUCCAAGAUAGUCAAUUUUUUAUUUUUUUUUCAAAAGACAUUAUGGGUGUAUUUUGAAAAAUUGAAAAGGUAAUCAUGCAUGGCCAUGUGAGGAGAGAAUAAAAAGUAUAGAUAAGUUGGAAGACAACAUUGAUGGGAGAAUAAAAGUUAAAAAAUCAAUAAAAUAGUGAGUAAAAAUAAUGAAUGGAACAUUCUCAUUCAACUAUUAUGAACAACCAAAUGUUGAAAUGAAAAACUAAUGAAAUUAAUACGAUUUUCUUUCUAUGGUUAGGUUUCUCUUCACACCAAACAAAUGUAGAGAAAUUUAAUUUAUAAAUGAAAAUUGGGUUUUGAUUCACUAAUAUAAGAGAAUAAAAAUAAAAAGAACUCUAAAUUAUAAAUUAGUUUUAUUUUUAUCAAUUUAAAAAUAUUUUAAAAUAUAUAUACUUUUUUAUAACUCAAAUAAUUAUUUCUUGAAAUAACAUUUUUACUUGUUAUGUUAAUAACACCAAUUAAUAAAUUUUUUUAGCGAUUAAAACUAAUUUGAGAUUAAUAAAAUAAAAAAAAAUUUAAAUUUAAAAUAUAAUUAAAAUUAAAAAAACUAUAAAAUAUAAAAUAUAAAAAUAAAAAUAAAAUAAUAAUUUUCAUUAGUUAAACACAUGUUGGUAGAAAAUAUAGAUAUCCAAAAAGAGUUGGAAAUACAAUGAUUAUCAAUAUUUAUUUUUAAAAUUUUAAAUUUUUUUUAAUUGUAUUUUUUAUUUUAUGGUUGAUUUUAACUAACAAAUUUUUUAUUCAAUUUUAUUGAAAAAUAAGAAGAUGGGCUUUAUAUAAUAUAGAAUAUAAAAUUAUUAUUAAUUAAAGGAUAAAAAAAGAUUUUAUUUAUCACUUGAAGAUUUGAAUAAUUUUUUCACAAUGAUUUGCAUCUUAUAAUAAAAAAUUUAUAAUAUAUUUAUAUACUUUUAUCAAAUUAAAUUGAUCAAUUAAUUUUGGAUUAUUUAUUCAAUAUUAUCAAGUAAAAUGGUAUUUAGAAAAUAAUUAUUUGAGUUAUAAAAAAGUAGAUGUAUUUUAAAAGAUUUUUAAAUUGAUGAAGAUAAAAUUGAUUUAUAAAAAUUAAUUAAAGUUUUUUUUAAAUAGUGAAUAAAACCCCCUUUUUUAAAAAAAAAACUUUAUAAUGUAUCCAUGGCAUUUUAUAACAUAAGAAAAUUAAUUUUUUGUGAAAGAGGAAAAAAAAUCAACUUUUCAAUUUCCAAUAAUAAUAAUUAUUAUUAUUAUCCAAUUUGGCUGAUUCUGUAAUUAGUUGGCAUCAUUACUAUUCUGUAAUUAGUUAGAAUAGUAUUAGGAGUUGAAGGUCAGUUGGAAUACAGGCUUAUGGAAACAAAUCUAUCCCAUUAGUUGGUUCUUAUUAUUUUUAUUAUUUUCAAUAUAGGAGAUGGGCAGCCGCUUCCUUUUGUCUGGGGGCCAUCCUCCCAACUUAUUAAAGGUGAUAUGAGAUUAAGAUUUUAACAAAAUUGUAUCUUGACUUCUCGAACCAUCGUUACUUGGCUCUCCACAACCACACCCAGUGCUGACACGUGACUAACAAACCUUCGCUCAUCUACCAAACCCAUGGCCUCAUGCCUUAUAUAUUUCCACAAACCUAGCUCAAUUUUCAUAGCCACCUUCACUAUCCUAUACUCACUAAGCCAUGCCCAUAGAUACAAGCCUCUUGCUUGAGUUUGCUGCAGCAACUCUACUCUUCUUCAUCACCCGCUUCUUCAUUCGUUCUCUCCUUCCCAAACCUUCCCGGAAGCUCCCCCCUGGCCCCAGAGGGUGGCCGCUCCUCGACGCUCUUCCUCUUCUAGGUAACUGAUUCGUCCCUAGCAGCGGAAGUGGCAAUGGCACCAUCUGAUUCGGGGUUCGAUCCCCGGCAACGGCGCCAUUUGACUCAUGCCCAAUUGGUGUCUCAGCUGAUUUAUGUUCAGCUGGUGCUCCUUGAUUGAGGAAGUGAUCAACAAAAUUUAUACCUAUAACACCAUACACUAGGGUAGCAAAUACAAAGCUACUAUAGUAUAGUGGCUCUAGGAUCGUUCACUGGGAAUGAUUUGCAAGCAAUCAAUGAUACCAAUUCCAAGUGAAUUGGUCUUGUUUCAUUUCACAGUUAGCUUAAGGAAUAAAACACAAACUUUGAUUUGUAAAGGUUGAGAUUUAAACUAACUAACUUAACAGAAGUUUGGAAUAAUUUAGGAAGAAAAGCAUUCCUUGGAGAUUUAGGUUCACUGGGGUGGUUCCUCAUGCAAAAGACAUAGCUCCGGUCAGAUGGUUCAUUUCCUCGCAUUAGAGAUUCAACCUAUAGUCAAUUCUCUAACCGGUGAUGUACAGAGACUCCUUCAAUUAGAUUUCACUUUAAUUCUCUCACUGAUACAACUUGCAAUGGUUCAUGCCUCUCACGAGCACUUACCAUUCAAGGUGAUCUUUAACCUUGGAUUCCCCUUCACAAACUCGCAAGAGAUAACUAAUGGAUGUCUCCUAGGAGUCCAAAAGCUUACCAAGUGUUGGUAAUUCCAGAAAAUCCUACCUUGAAGUCACCUACCAGAGGCUCGCAAGGGGUAAACUAGUGCAUUUCCACGGUUGGAAAUCACUUGCCUUACCAAGUGUUGGCCCAGGUGACUCUAAGGUGUUUUAAGUUAACUAAAAACAUUGAAAUCACUAAAGGAUUUCACUUCCUCUUCAUUACUAGCUAAAACCACAGAGCUUUGCAUUCUUGCACUUGGAACCUUCCCCGGCAACCUUAGCUCCAAGGAAUUGGAGGUUUAGUUACUCAUUCUCUGGGGAAAACUCCUCAGAGAAUUCAUAACUUAGAAAUAAAAUGAAAAUACAAAGUGAGAAGGUAAGGCAGUAGAAAGACAAGACUUUACUUGCUUACCAAACGUUUUCAGAAGGAACUCUUCCCUUAGAGAACAGGCUCCCGAGAGGUAUAUAUAUCAACAAAAUAUAAAACUAAUUGUUACAAAGAUAUUUGGUCUUUUUACUAACUUAAAAACUAAGGAAUCAUGUAAUUGGUGGUUUACAAGGAGUAUUUUGGGAUUUAGACAACAAAAAUCUAAUGGAAAAUAUCUCCCAAUGUCGGUAGCAAGCUUCGGGAGGCUUCAGGAGCCAUUUCGCAGGUGAAAAAUGAGGCCUGCGAAAUUUCGCAGACACCCAAGAGGGCUGCGAAAUUAUCUUGCAAGACCGAGCUAUCUUCACUAGGCUGCAAAGUUGGCUUCCAUCUUGAGGUUUCCAGCUCCCUUCUCGCGGCAUGGUUCGUGCAUCGUUAGAAGGAGAAAUACCUUACUGUACAAAAGUGCUGCGAAAUUCUCGCAACACAUGGCUGAUUCCGCAACACUUUAGAGUGUCUGGCUUGUAAUGGCUGCAACUUCUUCGUUUCAAUUCCGAAUCGCACACCGUUUGAAGCAUUGGAGUGUUGACUUCCUGAGCUUUGAAAUGGUAUAUAGCUUGCAUCAUUUGGACUUCAGAAAGUGCUCCAAAAGUGGCUGCUACGACUGUCAUCAAGAAUAUGCUCCAUGACUGAUCCUCUUUGCUUUUUCUCCUUGCAAUCCGGAUUCACUCUUGGCAAUUGAAUUCUAAGCUUUGCCCAAGAUUCCUCAUAGCUCUCCUCAUUCUUGACUUGCUUUGGUGAUCAAAAUACUAUCAAAAACACCAAAACUUACACAAAGUGAUCAAAAUUGCUUUAAAGGAUCCUUAACAUGCCAAUUGAGUUAAAAGGCCUAAACUACUACUCAAAAGUGUUAAAAAGGAUUAAUUAAAAGCUAUCAAAUAACACUUUUUGAGUAGUAAUCACUCCCCCCAACCGACAUAUUGCUAGUCCCUUAGCAAUAUAGGAGAGAAAAAUAAAAAUAAAUAGCAAACUAAUCUAAAAUUUACAACAUCAUGCUAAAGGAAAAUAAUUCUUAAGUGGCAUGAUGAUUUACUUCUCACAUGAAUCAUUAAAGAAAUACAAACCCAAAUCUCAACAAGAGUCAUAACACCUGUGCUAAACACUGUCAAUCAAGGGAGUGCAUUAUGCAAACUGAAGUUUUAAAAUCAUUUCACUUUCUAAGAACUAAACUUCAAUCUUCCACAAAAAUCUAUGUGUAUUGGUUCCUUAGAUUCCGAGAAUAAUAUGCUAAACUAGUCUCACCCCCCAACCUAUCUCUUUUCAACACUUUAGCAAACUGACCAAAAUCAAUAAGAAAAGAACACACUUUCAUCUUUUUUUUUUUUUUUUUUUUUUUUUUUUUUUUUUUUUUUUUUUUUUUUUUUUUCGGGGGACCUUUUGGGGGUACCCUUUCUGACUUGCCCAUGGAAGGGGGGCCCCCCGAUGACCCCCCACCAAUUAAGGUUUAGGGCCCCCCGUUUUAAGGAUUUUUCAACCCCAAACCCCCCGGAUUUUUCCCCAAAUUUUUAAAAAGGAAUUUUUAAACCCCAAGCAUCCACCAAAUGCUAUUUUUUCCUUUUCCCCCUUGGAACGGGGUUUGGGGGCGGGGACCCCCCACCAAUUAAGGGUUAGGGCCCCGGGCUUUAAGGGGUUUCCCCAAAAACCCCCCAAACCUUGCUCGGGUUNNNNNNNNNNNNNNNNNNNNNNNNNNNNNNNNNNNNNNNNNNNNNNNNNNNNNNNNNNNNNNNNNNNNNNNNNNNNNNNNNNNNNNNNNNNNNNNNNNNNUUUCAACCACUAACUCCUCGGAUUUUUCCCCAAACUUUUAAGAAUGAAUUUCUAAUACCCAAGCAUCUACCAUAUGCUAACUUUACCUAUUCACCCUUGUAACGAGCAUUGAGGUCGGUGACUCCCAACCAAUUAAGGCUUAGGGCACCAGGCUUUAAAGGCUUUCACCAUAUACCCCUCAGACCUUGCUCGGGUUUCAAGGCAAGCAAACAACUUUCUUUAUUUCAAAGGCUCAUUGGCCUUUUGCAGGGUGUUCCAAUUUUUAUCAAAUGAGGUCAAAUAUACCAAGUCUCAAAAUUAUCCUAAGUCAAGAGGGAAAUAGCUUUUCAUCUUAUAAUCGGAAACUAAUGUGCACAGUGUGUGGAUAGCUUAAAGUGGAAGAACUAACUUCAAUUACAGUAGAAGUUUCAACAAUUGAACCACUUUAGUAAGCAUAAUCCAUACUCUAAGUCAAGUGAAAAACAACAGUUCAAUUUCUCUUGGUUUAAUUUGAAAAUUUUUCCUCAAAAUUCAUGGAGAAUAGAGUAACAAGAGUAAAAAGUAAAAACUACAACUAAUUAACCAAUAUAAUUGCAAUACCAAAAAGGUUUAGACUACUUCCUUCCUCAUACCCCCCAACCGAACUGAGCAUUGUCCUUAAUGUGAUUUGAGUGACUGUAAUAAAAGGGAGGAAGUGGUACCUCCAUGCUGAUAUCAAAUUCGAAUAUUGAUUGGGGAAAACCACAUGUUUCAAAAAGAAUAGAAUAUGUGAGAAAAGGAAAUAAUAAUAACUUAAUGCUAACUUUUAACAAGAAAAAUUCAACUUGUAUUACUUUGAGUUCAUUUGAUUACAAUGCUAAAGACAAGUAACACAAGGAAUCCCAUAUAUAGUACCAAAAUACUGGGAUUUCUUUUCAACUAAAACAAAACAAGCAUAAAAACAUAAAUAGCAAAUAUAUAUAAUGUCUGAUGAGUGGGGUGAUGGUGCUAAGCAGAAGGAUCUGCCUCCUCUGUAGGUGGAUCAGCUGGGGCUUCUGGCUCUGGAGGAAGAGACUCUGAAGGCUGAGAGUGUGGCUCUGGUGGAGUAGCAGUGGAGGGCUCUACAGCUUGUGGUAGAUCGAAAUGGACUUGAAGCUGCCUUAGGAUGGCAGCUUGUUGAGCCUGAGAGGCUAACAUCUGCUCCUGGCAUGCUUUGAUGGCUGCCAACUCUUGAGCAAAAUUGCUCUGGGACGCUGUAAGAGUCUCCAAUGCUCGGCACAGCUCUCGAUAUUCGGAUAUAGGGAUGGCCAUCCUCGGCUCAGCUGAUGUGGAUGGCUGUGAUGCAGCAGGUGCAGCUGGUGAAGCUCGAGGGAUGGCAGGAGUAGCAAGUGUUAUACCUUCAGGUGCAUGUCUUGGGGAGGCUCUCCUUGCUGCUGGCUGAGGCUGCCCAGGAUGAUCAAUUUUGUAGGCCAUCAUAUUAUUCCAUUUAUCAAGGGUAAAUGGCUCACGACAUAUUCUCUUUCUUUCCUGCUGAGGCUCAGAGGGGUAUCCAAGAUGCUCCAAAACUUGGCAUAGCAGCCGUGGGAAGAGGAGGGGAAUGCAAUCUGCUCUUUAAAGCUUCUUCUUGUGAACCUUCUCCUCAAAGUAGAGAAGGGCUGCCAUGAUCAGAUGAUGAGGCCCAAAGAAGAAUCCUUCUGACAUCUUGUACAAGGCUUCCAGGAGAAUUCCCCUUCUUUGGGUCCAAUGCUGCAGGGGAUAGAUAUUAUGCCUCAAAAAGGCAUCAAUCAAAAACAUCACUAGAGGUAGCUCCCCCCUCAGCAAAUGUGAUCGAUUUGCAGCUCCUCUGGUUAGUGUGCGAACCAUCUCUAACUCAGUAGGAUUUACCCAAGCUUUAAAAUUGUCGAAUUGGGUUGGCUCAAAAGGAAUUUGCAGGGCUUCAGCAAUAUGUCUUGCUCCCAAAAUACCAUGUCUUCCAUCAAUUAUAAAAUGAAUCAAGGUUGGAUUUCUUACUUCUUUGGUUGUCAUGGUCUGGUAGAAGUCCGUGACUACCCGGGGAUAGAAAAAAUCCCUUGGAGCUAGCAGAUACUCCAUAUGAUAUCUCCUCAGCAGCUGGAAGGAUUGGGCAAGCUCUGGCCUCACUCUGAAUGCUGUUAAAUCGAAGCAAAGCUCAGAAUGGAAUGCCCGUGUUCGACAAUCCAAGUUUCCUUCGAUUGGGGGCUGGGGCAGCAUUGGCCUUCGGAUCACUUCUUCCAGAGGUGCUUCAGCUGCAAUUUGGGGCUCUGGAAUUGGCGCUUGAGGCUCCUGAGCUUUUUCUUGGGGUGCCGGAGAUGGUACCGGCGAUGGAAUUGGAGUUGCUUCAGGUGAGGGAAUUGGCGAGGGAACCGGUGACGGCACUGGAGUUUGAACCAGUGAAGGAUUUGGGGACUGCUCAGGGGAUUGCUCAGUCAAAUCAAUUGGUUCAGAGCUCUCAACCCUGGUUUUCUUCUUCAAUGGCUGACCGCCUGACCUUGUUAAAUAUCGCCUUGCCGGCGGCUUUGGUGGCGCCGGCUUCACUGGAGAAGGAUUUGGUCUCGACGGCGAAGGCUUUGGAGCAGGUUCUGGAACAGAACCUGGACUUGGCUCCUUUCGCAGACUCCUUUUGCGAUUCGAAGGGGAUGAAGACUUUGCCCCUUGUGUUCGUGCCAUUUUGGAAUACCGAAACUUUAGCCGGUGCUGCUGAACGGAGAAGACGACCGGAGGUUCGGACGGCGUGGCUUGGCGAAGAAGAUGAAGGGGCUGCGAGAAUGGUGCUCUGAUUUUUGAAACCCUUUUUGCAGCACUUUUGACCGGUAUAAAUAGGAAAAACGGAAGCCCAGGGGUCAGUUUAAGUUUCGCAACAAAACGCCAAUUUUGCAGCAACUUGCCAUUUUCGCAGCAACUUCGCAGUGAGUUUCGCAGCUGCGAAAUUGAUGUCACUGUGCUGCGGAGUGGCACUCGUGUGCCAAAACCACUUUCGCAAUUGCGAAAUGCCCUGCGGAAUGAGACUUUUGGUGCGAAAUCACGCUUUUCCAUUUCGCAAUGAGUUUCGCAGCUGCGAAAUGGGUUCUACUGUACUGCGAAGUGGCACUCGUGUGCCAAAUUCACUUUCGCAGCUGCAAAAUACACUCGCAGAGGCUUCUACAGUGCUGCGGAAUGGUUUGGCAGCAAAAUGCUCAGUUCGCAGAAGUUUCCUUCUCUCUGCGAAAUUUCGCAGAGCUCUGUUUUUCCCCUGUUUCUGCUCUGUUUCGGCUCCAAUUUCGACCCGAUUUUUUUUCUUUUCAAUCCCCUUGAAAUUUCUUCCACCUGGGAUCAUUUUAAACAAUUAAAACACACUUAAAAACAUGAUUUAAGAUCAAAAACUAAGAUCAAAAGUAUGGAAACAACUUAAAAAUUUUACAAAAUUUACAAAAAUUUUGGACUGUGGUUAAGACCACGUCCAGCAAACCCUUUUCACUUAGGCUUUUUGAGGUUCAAGGAGGUUGAUUGCCUCCUUUUCUGAUUUGAAUGACUCCAUGAACGGCUUAAGACGAUAUCCAUUGACUCUAAAGCUAUCCUUGCCAUUGGAAUUCAAUAAGUCCACCACUCCAUUGGAAUAUACUCGGUGAAUAACAAAUGGACCAAUCCACCUUGACUUGAGCUUCCCAGGAAAGAUAUGGAGUCUUGUGUCAUACAUCAAAACUUUUUGCCCUUCCUGAUUCAGUUUGCCCGGAUCCCAUUUGAAGCUUGCAUCCUUCACUUGAGACUUGGUUUGAGAUGAAGAUAUUACGACAGGACAUUGAUUAUUUUCUUCAAGAUAUGUAUAUUUCAGCUCCACAGGUAAAGGCUUCAGAUUGAAUUUUGGAAUUUCUUUUUCAGCGGCUGCCUCCUCUUCUUCAUUGAACAAAGGUAGAAUUUCUUCUAUCUUUCUCCAACUUUGUAGAGUAGCAAGCCCAAUAGGCGAUUCAGAAAAACCUUCCUCAAUAUCCUCAAGAUUUUCAUUCAACUUAUCUUGCAUAUGUUGAUUACAGUGCUCCUCCACCAAAGUAUCAAUUACACAUAACUCUUCUGGACCUUCUUCUUCUUCCGGAGUGAUUUGAUUUUUAGACAUAUAGAAAAUAUUUAGAUCCAGUGUCAUAUUACCAAAAGUGAGUUGCAUAAGCCCAUUUCUACAGUUGAUGAUUGCAUUUGAAGUUGCAAGAAAUGACCUUCCAAGGAUGAUAGGAACUAAAUUAGCUUCCUUUACAGUAGGAUCAGUAUCAAGAACAACAAAAUCUACAGGAUAGUAGAAAUUAUCUACUUGAACCAAUACAUCCUCAAUUACUCCUCUUGGAAUUUUCACUGAUCUAUCUGCCAAAGAUAAAGUGAUUGCUGUUGGCUUCAACUCUCCAAGUCCUAGUUGCUUGUAGACAGAGUAUGGAAGCAAAUUCACACUUGCUCCCAAGUCUAGCAAGGCUUUCUCCACUACCUUUCCUCCAAUCAUGACUGAAAUGGUAGGACUUCCAGGGUCUUUGUACUUCGAAGGAGACUUACACUGUAAGAUUGCACUUACUUGCUCAGUCAAGAAGGCUUUCUUGUUUACAGUCAACCCUCUUUUGAUCGUACACAAGUCCUUUAGGAAUUUUGCAUACGUUGGAACUUGUUUGAUCAUAUCCAGCAGUGGAAUAUUAACUUUCACUUGCCUCAAUACUUCUAGGAUUUCAGCUGCAUUUCUAACCCCCUUUUUCCCAUGUAAUGCUUGAGGAAAAGGUGGAAAAGUUGAUUUCUUCAGCAUUUUUUCCUUCAGAAGCUCUUUCUCUGGAAUUGCUUUCAUUGUUGAAUCAGAGUCCUUCUUCUCUUCGCUGAUCUCACUCUCUUUAUCUUCCAUUUCCUUCCCUUUCUUCAUCUCUUCUUCUUUUUCAACAUGUGGCUUGGGUGUUGGCUGCUCAAUUUUUUUACCACUCCUUAGAGUGAUCAAAGCUUUCACAUCUUUCACCUGUGAUGAUUCUCCCUCAUGGAUUUCCACUUCAUGGACACCUUUGGGAUUUUGGUUAGGUUGAGAAGGAAAUCUUCCUUUUUCUUGCAGUGUAUUCAAAUUUGUAAGCCUGGAAAUUGAAUAUUGGAUGUUAUCAAACUUUUGGUUCAUUUCAUUUUGCAUUCCAUCCAUUCUUUUGUUCAACACACUCUCCAUUCUAUCCAUUCUUUGAUCAACUCGAGCAUUGGUGGCUUCUUGCUUUCCCACAAAAUCUCCCACUACCUUGCUGAGAUUGGCUAUUAUUUGUUCAAUACUUGAAGAUUGCUGAGAUGGUGGAUCCGGCUGUUGGUAUUGAGUUGCUCUGGCCUUCCAUGAGAAAUUUGGAUGAUUCCUCCAACUUGAAUUGUAGGUAUUUCCAUAUGGAGCAUUGUUAUUGGGCCUGAAUUGUCUAACAACAUUUGCUUGAUCUCUAUACAUUUCCCUUUCAACUGAAAUUGCAGGGCACUCCUCUACCAAAUGUUCAAAUGAUUGACAAUUGGGACACAACUUCACUUGCACUGGUGCUUCAGCAACAGCUUGCACUUCAUGCAUUCUUUUCAGCUCCAGCUCCUCCAAUCUUCUUGUCAUAGCUGCCAACUUUGCUUUCAUGUCAUCAUCUUCUUUCAAAUUAUACAUCCCAGCCUUUGCAUUGUAAGCAUUCAACUGAGACUUCAUCUUUCCCACUUCUCCUUUGGUUGGUUCAUCCCAUCCCCUUGAAACAUCAGCUACAUAGUUCAAGAAAUCCAUAGCUUCCUCUGGAUUUUUGCUCAUGAAAUCUCCUCCACACAUUGUCUCGAGGAGUUGCUUCAUUGAGGAUGACAUACCAUCAUAGAAAUAGCUCACCAAUAGCCAUGUAUCAAAGCCAUGGUGAGGACAAGCAUUUAUAGCUUCCAUGUAUCUUUCCCAACACUCAUAGAAUUUCUCAUUCUCUUUAGCUGAGAAGUUUGAAAUUUGCCUUUUCAAGCCAUUUGUUCUAUGAGUAGGAAAAAAUUUCUUAAGGAAUUCAGCUUGUAAAUCAGUCCAAGAGCGGAUACUCCUUGGCCUUAAAGAAUUAAGCCAAAUUUUGGCCUUAUCCUUUAAAGUAAAAGGAAAUAACUUAAGCCUCAUCAAGUCAAUUGAAGCUCCUCCCUCUUGGAAUGUAUUACAAACAUCUUCAAAUUCCUUGAUGUGUGCAUACGGAUUCUCACUUUCCAUCCCAUGGAAAGUUGGUAGAAGUGGAACAAGAUACGGUCUGAUCACUAGCUGCUCUGUAGGGGCACUAUACAUGAUGGUGCACUCAUACGANNNNNNNNNNNNNNNNNNNNNNNNNNNNNNNNNNNNNNNNNNNNNNNNNNNNNNNNNNNNNNNNNNNNNNNNNNNNNNNNNNNNNNNNNNNNNNNNNNNNUAUAGUCAAUUCUUUAACCGGUGAUGUACAGAGACUCCUUCAAUUAGAUUUCACUUUAAUUCUCUCACUGAUACAACUUGCAAUGGUUCAUGCCUCUCACGAGCACUUACCAUUCAAGGUGAUCUUUAACCUUGGAUUCCCCUUCACAAACUCGCAAGAGAUAACUAAUGGAUGUCUCCUAGGAGUCCAAAAGCUUACCAAGUGUUGGUAAUUCCAGAAAAUCCUACCUUGAAGUCACCUACCAGAGGCUCGCAAGGGGUAAACUAGUGCAUUUCCACGGUUGGAAAUCACUUGCCUUACCAAGUGUUGGCCCAGGUGACUCUAAGGUGUUUUAAGUUAACUAAAAACAUUGAAAUCACUAAAGGAUUUCACUUCCUCUUCAUUACUAGCUAAAACCACAGAGCUUUGCAUUCUUGCACUUGGAACCUUCCCCGGCAACCUUAGCUCCAAGGAAUUGGAGGUUUAGUUACUCAUUCUCUGGGGAAAACUCCUCAGAGAAUUCAUAACUUAGAAAUAAAAUGAAAAUACAAAGUGAGAAGGUAAGGCAGUAGAAAGACAAGACUUUACUUGCUUACCAAACGUUUUCAGAAGGAACUCUUCCCUUAGAGAACAGGCUCCCGAGAGGUAUAUAUAUCAACAAAAUAUAAAACUAAUUGUUACAAAGAUAUUUGGUCUUUUUACUAACUUAAAAACUAAGGAAUCAUGUAAUUGGUGGUUUACAAGGAGUAUUUUGGGAUUUAGACAACAAAAAUCUAAUGGAAAAUAUCUCCCAAUGUCGGUAGCAAGCUUCGGGAGGCUUCAGGAGCCAUUUCGCAGGUGAAAAAUGAGGCCUGCGAAAUUUCGCAGACACCCAAGAGGGCUGCGAAAUUAUCUUGCAAGACCGAGCUAUCUUCACUAGGCUGCAAAGUUGGCUUCCAUCUUGAGGUUUCCAGCUCCCUUCUCGCGGCAUGGUUCGUGCAUCGUUAGAAGGAGAAACACCUUACUGUACAAAAGUGCUGCGAAAUUCUCGUAACACAUGGCUGAUUCCGCAACACUUUAGAGUGUCUGGCUUGUAAUGGCUGCAACUUCUUCGUUUCAAUUCCGAAUCGCACACCGUUUGAAGCAUUGGAGUGUUGACUUCCUGAGCUUUGAAAUGGUAUAUAGCUUGCAUCAUUUGGACUUCAGAAAGUACUCCAAAAGUGGCUGCUACGACUGUCAUCAAGAAUAUGCUCCAUGACUGAUCCUCUUUGCUUUUUCUCCUUGCAAUCCGGAUUCACUCUUGGCAAUUGAAUUCUAAGCUUUGCCCAAGAUUCCUCAUAGCUCUCCUCAUUCUUGACUUGCUUUGGCGAUCAAAAUACUAUCAAAAACACCAAAACUUGCACAAAGUGAUCAAAAUUGCUUUAAAGGAUCCUUAACAUGCCAAUUGAGUUAAAAGGCCUAAACUACUACUCAAAAGUGUUAAAAAGGAUUAAUUAAAAGCUAUCAAAUAGCACUUUUUGAGUCAAAUGAGUUCAAGGACAUGGUGGUGGAGCUCAUGACCACUGCUGGGUACUUCAAUAUUGGCGACUUUAUUCCGUCCAUCGCAUGGCUGGACAUCCAAGGGAUCCAGCGCGGGAUGAAGCAUUUACAUAGGAAGUUCGACCGGUUAUUAACAAAGAUGAUGGAGGAGCACACGGCGUCAGCCCAUGAGCGAAAGGGAAACCCAGAUUUUCUGGACGUAAUCAUGGCAAACCAAGAAAAUUCUACAGGGGAGAAGCUCACUAUUACCAACAUUAAAGCACUCCUCCUGGUAUGCAUAGUUAAAGCUCGUCUUCAAUUUUGUUUUCCGAUAUUUUCUUUCCGGAAACAGCACUUUUAUUGCUUUUAGAUAUGUACGUUUUUAUCAGGUAGCCAUUUUAGGGGCACAUCACUAUUCUUUAUUUUUGGACUAUUUUUUUCUUUUUCCACUUGCAUGGUUGUUUUCAUAUGCUCAGCUGCAUGGCACAAGAAAAUUGUGAAAAAUGAUUGGUUCUCUGAUCAGACCUUCUGCACCAAAACACGCUUUUCUCUAUGUUAUAAAAUCGGUUUACAUGAUUUUUCAACCAGCUUCCUUGAACUUGAACUUUUGCUAGGGCUAAUGCAAAAAAUGAUUGAUCUCAAUUUUCAAUAGCGUUUGAUUACAUAAAUUUCAAGUAUGUGAACAUAUUUUUGUUUCCUUGGCUAGAAUUUAUUUACUGCAGGAACAGACACUUCAUCGAGCGUAAUCGAGUGGUCUCUGGCUGAGAUGUUGAAAAACCCGAGCAUCCUCAAGCGUGCUCACGAAGAAAUGGAUCAAGUGAUUGGAAGGAGCCGGCGGCUCGUGGAGUCUGACUUGCCAAAACUUCCAUACCUACAAGCCAUAUGCAAGGAAAGCUUCCGGAAGCACCCAUCCACCCCGUUGAACCUUCCUCGUGUCUCAACCCAAGCAUGUGAAGUGAACGGCUACUACAUCCCAGAGAACACUAGACUUAGCGUGAACAUAUGGGCAAUUGGGCGAGACCCUAAUGUCUGGGAAAGCCCGGAAGAAUUCAGGCCAGAAAGGUU
rnacentral:lncRNA from 1 species